AAGAACUUCAAUAUUCUUCCAUAGAAAGUGCUCAACUUCUGUCAAAGAGUUGUGAGAUACGUUUAAGUAAGUCAAAGAGCCAUUCCCCACCUCUUGCAUCCACUGUGGAAUCUUGCCUUCAAUUUUGUUGCAAGAGAGGUCUAAGCUUUCCAAACUUUUAAGCCCUUUUAAAAAUUGGGGGAAUUCACUAAGAUUGCAAGAUGACAAAAGUAAGUCUGUAACAUUAGGCAAUAUAUGAUUAACACUAGAUGUAGUAUUAGAUGUUAAGGAUAGGCUGUUAUAUGAAAGGUCGAGAUGUUUUAGAUUUGGAAGGUUUGAGAACAUGCGAAACUCUAUGACACCACUAAGAUUAUUUGAGGAUAAAAGGAGCCAGGUAAGAUUGAGAAGUUGGAAUAUUGAAGAUGGAAGGGGACCUUGGAGUUUAUUAUUUUCUAGAUCUAAAUAUUCUAGUGAUUUGGUUUGGAAUUCUUUGAUAUGCCCACUGAAUUGAUUUUGAGAGAGAAUUAUACCCUUUAAGGAGGGAGCAGUAUACAACCAUGACGGAAGUGUUCCAUUGAGUAAAUUGUCAUAUAAGACUAAAUAUAUUAGAUUCGGAACAGCGGUUACCUCAUCUGGAAUAGAACCUUCUAAAGAAUUUUCAGAUAUUUCCAAGUAUUCCAACUGCGUUAGGUUUAGAAUUGACAAUGGAAUUUGUCCACUCAAUUUAUUUGAUCCCAAGUCUAAAUGAGUGAGUUGCAAGAGGUUUCCAAGUGAUCUUGGAACCGGUCCUGAUAAGUUGGAAUAGGAGAGAUCUAAAAACUUCAAGGACACAAGAUUCCCCAUCGAGUCAGGCAAUCCUCCAAAAAAAUUUGCGCCUCUAAGAAUCAAGUACUCCAAAGAUGAUAAAUUUGUGAUUGAGACAGACAAUCCUUGAAAGAAAGAAAUUCCUGAUAGAUCUAAGUACUUUAAGGCCCGUAGAUUAUCAACCGAAUCAAUGAAUUCUGUAGAGAAGGACAUCCUCGACAGAUCCAAAUGUUCGAGAUUGCUGCUCCGGUUCAACUUCAAAGGAUCAAGAUUGAGGUUUUGGUUGCCUCCCAAGUUGAGGAGAUUGAGGUUUGGCAAAUCAAAAAUGUUUUUUGGGAAUUUUCCUUGCAAAUCACAACCAGCAAGACUGAGAGACCUUAGAGAAGAGGAUAGAUUCAUGAAGACAUGAGCAUUAACAUAAGACAUGUCCAUUCCACCCAAAAAUAGAUGUCUGACAUCGGUUAGGUUGUGAACAAGUCCCUCCAGAGCAUGUUUGUCAAUUGUUUGUUCACCAAACACAGAGGAGGAGAGAUCAAGUGAAACCAAUUUUGACAGGUGGGAGACUUGGGAUGGGACUUCUCCUGCAAACCCUGUAUAAGAAAGGUUGAGGUAGAAUAGGCUAGUAAACCGACCGAACUCGGAUGGAAUUUUGGAAAGAUUAAAAUCAUUGUAGGCAAGGUUGAGUUUUUGAAGGUGAGGAAGAAGGAAGAGAGUGGUAUUGGAAGGGAAGUUGCCAUAUAGCCAACUGCAGCUCAAGUCAAGGGCAAUAACAUGAGCAUUUAGGUGGUCACAAGUGACCCCAUCCCAUGAGCAGCAAUCUGUACCCUCCUUCCAUGAAUUUGUCUUGGGAUAAGAUUUAAGGCCAGCAUAAUCAUUGCAAUAAGAAGAAACAUCCUCUGUUACGGAAAAAGAGUCCUUAAACUGGAUUAGGGAAGAGCAGGAGUGAGAUCCUGAAGAAGAAAAAGAAGCAUAAAGAUGGGGAAAGAAGAGGAAUAGGCAGAGAAAGAGAUAGGGGGCCAUGUUAUGUUUGUAGAGAAAGAAGAAGGAUAGGAAUGGUAUUUGUAGGCAACAAAUAGUACCACAACAUUGGUGUUACAGUAUUUUUUUUUUCUUUUACAUUGAAAAGCUAUGGAUAUUAGAUUUUCAAAAAUUUUGUAUUUUUCACCAUCAUCAACAACCACUUAGUCUUCUUUUUACCAUAUAUUUUUCAUUCUAUUUUUUUAACAAAAUCUUGUAUUUCAUUUCAGCUUUCAAAACAACUAAAAAAUUUAAAAUUGAUGAAAUUACAAAGUAGAUUGACUUAGUCUUCUUUCCUAUAACAUUUAAAAGAAUAUCUUGUCAACCAAAGUUAAUUAAUGUGAAAAUUCUUUUUCACACAAAAGAACAAAAUUGUGCUCUAUUCACUAAGUUAGAGGAAAAAGACUGCUAGAUUUUUUAAUUAUUUUUUCUUUGAAAAAUUUGAAAGUUUUUUACUGCCUUUAAGCCAAUAAAAAAAACAUGUAUUAAUUUUGUUUUUAAAAAUAGUGUGUUUGAUUGUGAAAUGAUUCAUCAUCCUCCACCACAAACUAUCCAUAUUUGCAGUGUGAAAGCAGCUACUUUCAUAAAGAAAUUACUUAGGAGAUGGGAUCCACCAAUUUUACCUAAACUCGCAUCAACAUUGUUUAGCAAUUUCAAAAUAGACUAAUUAGUCUGGUUCAAAUACCAAGACUACAAUAUCUAUUCACUUCACUUGGUCUUGCUUCCUAUCGCUGUCAGCCAAACUUGAUCGACUAGCAGUAAGGAAAUUUCAGUCAUUUGCAGCAUAAUGUACAAGAAUUCCACUCCCGCAAAAUAAUUUACAAUAUGGACUAACACACUAAAAAUGAUUUUUAAAAAAUGAUUUUUAGAAAGUAAUUUUUGAAAAAUGGUUAGAAGAUAAUUUUUGUUUCUGAAAUAGUUAAUUUUUUUUGGUGUUUAGAUAAAUUUUGUUAUGUUUUCAUUGUUUACUUGAGUUUAUUUCAUAAAGCUUAUGUAUAUAUUUUAAUUAAUCAUGUUUUAGUUUUAAUUAAUCUUAAUUUACUUAAUUAAGCUUAAUUGUUAACUUCGUACAUUAGAAUAUAAAUUUAUGUUUAAUUAAGUUGAAAGUGAUAAAUAUUUAUUUUGAAUAUUAUUUGGAUAAGUUGAAAAAUGAUUUAAUUUGAUAAAAUUGAAGUCAGGGUCAUAGAACUAUGCUUUUUACUGACAAAAUCUUAGAUGCAGUGAUUAUUGAGACUAAAAAAUGAAAGUCAUGAAAGAAGACAUAAAUAGUUGAACCAUACAAAAUGUUACAUUUUGUAAUGCAAUGAAAUAUAGAUGAAUUGUUACAAAUAUAAAGACAGAUGCAUUGCAAUGCAACCUUUCUCCAUAGGAAAAAAAAUUUGACAGACUUCAAAACAAGAAAUUAUGAAGAUACAACAUACACACUUGAACAUCAUUUCCACUAACUAGAUCCUUCUUCGUCCAUUGCUGCGACUGCCAUCCUUUGACUUUCUUCUUCGCUACUUCUCAUGUUGGAUUCAACCAAAUUCACCAACCAUUUUGGCUUACUAAUUUGGAAAACAACAUAUCCCACGACCAUUCCAAACACUACUCCGCAUCCAUAACCUAUCAACACCAAUUUCCAACCAAAAGAGAUGUUUGAUUUUGAACCAUCUUUUCCAAGCACAUUUGGAGGUGGUGGCUCAAUGAUGUUGCAACCUUUUGAGACCGGAAAUCCACAUAAUCCCUUGUUUCCUUCAUAUGAAUCAUUUCCAUAUGUGUUGAACUGUUUGCCUUGAGGAAUCUGACCAUGGAGUUGAUUUUCAGAAACAUUGAAGGACGAAAGAAAUGCCAGAUCUGCAAAUCUAUUUCGAAUUGUCCCUGACAACCUGUUUGAAUAUAGGUCCAACCAUUCAAGACUCGUCAAAUUCCCUAUUGAAGUGGGGAUACCACCGUUAUAAACACUGUCAUAUGGCAUGAAUAACAUACUCAUAUAUUUACUGUCACAUGGCAUGAAAAACACACCCUCAUAUUCACUUUCACAUUAGUCAUCAUAAGCUUAUAACAUAUGUCAUAGCAAUCUCAUAUAUAUUCAUAAUUUCACAAUUUCACAAGCGUACAUAUAUCACAUUUAAUCAUAUGCGCGAGAAAACUUACUCUCACUUACUCUUGGAAUUUAGAGUAGGAAUUUAGGCUACCACUAAAUUCUCAUCAAUUAAACAAUGAAUCAUCUACGAGCAACAAUUUCAAACCACAAUGAAUCGAGAGCUCAAACUAGCUCUUCCUCUAACUCGUAGAAGGCUUUAAUGAAUCCGAGGCUUCACACAUGACAAUCACACAAUACUCACAGUCAAAUGACAGCCAAGGACCCACUUAAACUAACCAAAAUAAAAGCCUAAGCUACCUUCUAAUGUAACCAAACCCUUUAGCAUGACGAACUUAAAAUGCAAAUAUAUCAAUCUACACUUAAACAUUUUCACAUGAAACAAGUUUCAGUCAUCCCCCAUAUUCAUUUAUAGCUAAACUCCAAUCUUUAAACCACACAAAACUACAAGUUUCAAGGUAUAACAUUUUUCCACAAAUUUUGACCAUAAUAAUGAAAAUUCAUUAAAACACGGGAAAUCUAUAAUGAAACUUAGAAGUAAUUUUAAAAAACUUCUAAUUAAGUUAAAACAAGUUGAAAAACACUUUUAAAUCACUUUUUCAUCCACAAUCUCGAAUUCCACCAUUAAUGACCCAAUUUUUAGGUUUAAAUUAAAACAUGCAAUUUCAUAACUAAAAUCUCAAUUUUAAAGUCUAGAUAACAUUAAAAACUAAUGAGAAAGUAAAUGGUUACCUUUGAUGAAAGAUUAAACGAGUUUUGAAGUAAAUUUGAAAAACCCACAAUUGAAGAAGAAGAUGAAAUCUAUGGCGUUUUUGAGUGUUUUUCUUGGAAUUAUAAGAAAUCAAAGUACUAUUGUUUGGGAAUAAAAAUUAAUUGAAAGAUCAAGGGAAUAGCAAAGGACGGCAAUAGCAAACUUUGGAGAGUAACUAUUGUGAAAUAGAACAGGGAAUGGGGUUUAUUAGGUUCAAUUUAAAACAUUGGUAAAACUUCAAUCUAAGUGCUCACUAUUUUAACUUUGUUACAAAUUAGUUCUUUUUCUAAAUUUUAGGUAUUUAAAACUCAUUUUCAGAAAUCGGCUCAAUUCCCUAAUAGCCAUUGUCGAAAACAUUAUUGAAUACUAACCUUACGAAAUUUUGAUUACAUAUAGGCUAAAAUUCCUAAAAAAAAAUUGAAACUCUUAGAUCCUAUUUUGGGGUGUUCACGUAUGGUCAUGAUUCAUGUUGAAUUAAUACAUCAUUCACCGUAAUAAGGCUUAUCGUUGUAAUAAUUAGUUAAAUCACCUAAUAUCUAAAAAAUUAUUAUUAUUUUCAUAAAAUCAUUGAUCAAAUUAUUGUUUUCAAAUUUCAUACAUAAAAUUAACAAAUAAAGAUAGCUCUAAAUAGCAAAACCCAAUAUGUGUAACAAGUAUUUUUAUUAAUCCAUUUGGAAUGUUAAGGUUUGCUGGAGCAAAUAAAUUGAUUAAUGCUUUGAACUUUCCAAACACUUUUUAUAGUUUUGUUAUAUGCAUUUUGUAUAAUUAGUAUAUUUGAAUAUAUUAGAUACAUCGUCUAAAACAAUGCCAAUUGUAAUUUUUUUAUAUUUUGUUGAUCAUAAGCGUAUUAUAUAAAUAAUUUAAAAAAAAAAAGAUGGAGUGAUACAUUUAUGUAGUGCUUAUGAAUAUAAUGUUGGAUUAAAAUCCUUAAUUAUGAGUACAUAUGUAUAUGCUUGAUAUUACAAUUAUCUUAAUAAUUUUGUUUCUGUUCUUGUUGAUUGAUGAUUAUAGAAAUCAUUAUUCUUCUGAAGGCAUACUUUGUUGUCAAUGACAGUACCUGCACCCUAAAAAAGUCACCAGCUUUAACGACUACAAAAGUUGUCCUGCCUGAUAUUUAUUAAAAAAUCACCAGGAAGCACAUUGUCAGGACAUCCUUGCUGGAAAAAAACUUGGUAGGAUGGUUUUUCUGUGCAAACUUAGUAAUUAAUUUAUGUUGUUUUUACCAAACUUUGUAGCGUUUCACUUUUGGUAAAAUUUCAUCCUUGGUCCCUUUAAACUCCUUUUUGCUUUAAUUUGAUUGCUUUCUAGCGUUGCAAAUUACAUAACACUCUUCAAAUGUCUUAUUAAAUUCUCACUUUUACGAGUGCUAUGUUAAUCAAUUUUAAGUUCCAUAUAACACUUACAUGGCUACAAAAUGUGUGUGUGUGUAAGUGUCCUCAACCACAAACAAUCCAAAUUUGCUGAGAAACCACCCAUUAUAUAUAGGUUUGCCAAUGAGAUGGCAAGCAGACUGCUAGCUAGAAAUUCAUGCAUCUUUGAAUCACCAAUUCAAUUAAUAAGCUUAACUAGAGGAAAUAAGGACUUUACACCACCAAUUAAAGCAACCUAUAUGUACCCUUUUACAGUCUGCAUUGUUCCAUGUUUCCAUUCAUUACAUCAUUCCUUCAACUCUGCUAUAUAUUAUUACCGUCUCCAGAAAACCAAACCUUUUACUGCUAACUUGUAAAAAAAUUAUGAAAAUACAACAGAGAUCAUUGAGACAUUGUUGAAGUUGGCUUGCAUGCAGACCAAGAAGCACACCAAGCUGUCCGAGAUAUGCAAGUUGCAGCUGAAGCUUAUGCUGCUGUUUUGUUACUUUCAAAUAGAUAUUUUAUUAUUUACUUAGAUAUGAACUAAGUUGCUGAUAUGCUUGAUGUAAUUAGGAGCUGAUAGAUUGAUAAAUCAGCUUUACCAAGUGUACAAGCAAUGUUUAUCAAGUUACUAAGCCACUUAGUGGAGUUAGGUAUGUGUUUAGGUAACAUUUUCUUAUUUUUGACCAGCUGAUUGCUUGCUAUAUGUAAUGGCAUUGUGCCUUCAUUCAAAUGUAAAGAAAUCUUUCAGAAAAUUCUUCUUCAUUUGGUCUUUACCUAAGCAUUUUUUUUCACGAAGCUCUUGCUGUUUUUGUUUUGUUUGUUGAGCAAGAUAACAAUGCUUUAUGCUUAAGUUUCUGUCAAAAUUUCUCAUUCUGUUUUCUUAGUUCCUACAGACAUUUUGUUCUCCUUUCUCCUUUACUGAGCAGUAGCAAAGAUUAUCGAGACUAAAUUGAAAUCCAUGAAAGAAGACAUAAACAACACCACCAUACAAAAUGUCACACUCAAACAAACCAUUACAGAUACGAAAUGCAAUGAAAGACAGAGGAAUUGGUACAAUAAUAAAGACAGCCAGAUACCAAUGCAACCCUUCACCAUAGGCAAAACGGUCUACAAACAAGAAAUUAUGAAAAAUACAACACUAAUUCUUGAACAUCAUUUGCAGUAAUUAAAUCCUUCUUCGUCUACUGCUGUGAUUGCCUUUCUUUGACUUUCUUCUUCGCCUCUUCUCAUGUUGGUUUUCAACCAAAUUCACCAACCAUUUUGGCUUACCAGUUUGGAAAACAACAUAUCCCACGGACAUUCCGAACACUACUCCGCAUCCAUAACCUAUCAACACCACUUUCCAACCAAAAGCAAUGUUUGAUUUUGAGCCAUCUUUUUCAAGCACAUUUGGAGGUGCUGGAUCAAUGAUGUUGCAACCUUUCGAGACCGGAAACCCACACAGUCCCUUAUUUCCUUCAUAUGAAUCAUUUCCAAAUGUGUUGAAUUGUUUGCCUUGAGGAAUCUGACCAUGGAGUUGAUUUUCAGAAACAUUGAAGGACGAAAGAAAUGGCAGAUCUGCCAAUCUAUUUGGAAUCGUCCCAGACAACCUGUUUGAAGAUAGGUCCAACCAUUCAAGACUUGUCAAAUUCCCUAUUGAGGUGGGGAUAUCACCAAUAAGGUUAUUAUGAGAAAGGUUGAGCCCUUUCAGUAAGUUAAGCUUCCCAAUAACCUUUGGAAUACCCCUUUCAAACUGAUUGUUUGAUAGAUCAAUGAUCAUCCACAUGGUGAAAAUUUUCACCAAUUCCCUAUCUUGUCCUUUCAUAACAAUUCCAAUGGAAUAGGUAUAGAAGCCAACUCCAUAAUCAUGCACCCCCAUGUAUGACACUGUACUACCAAUCUUCUCUAGAUUUAUGAUAGCCUUGAAGCUGUUGAUGUAUCUCACUGGUAGGGGUCCAGAAAAAUAAUUACUUGAGAGAUCAAAAAUUUGGAUUUUAGAGAAAAAAGGGAUAGACUUGGAGCUAUUGACACAUAAGGAACCAUGCAGUUGAUUUGACUUCAAUACAAGAACUUGUAGCUGUGGAAGACUUCCCAACCAGUGAGGAAAUGUAUCAUUGAUCUUGUUGUUACCAAGAUCUAGCACUUCCAGACCUCUACAAUUAAGGAUGGAUGGUGUCAAAGGCCCUUCUAACAGAUUUCCAUUUAAGUUGAAAUUACUCAAUCGGCAUCCCUUUGCAAAUGCUGGAGGAAUCGUCCCAUAAUACUUGUUCUUCUUCAGAUUCAAGAAUAGAAGGCUGUUGCUCAAAUUUCCAAAACAUUGUGGAAUUGUUCCACUCAAGUUAUUGUGGGACAAAUCAAGAAUUUCAAGAAAAGCGGCAUUGCAUAUUAAAGAAGAGACCUCUCCAUUGAAACUAUUAUUUGAGAUCAAAAAGACUCUUAUGGUCGAAGCUGGAAUCGGAAGAUUUCCACUGAUCAAAUUGGAGCUUAAGUCAAGAACAUCAAUAUUCUUCCAUGGAAAGUGCUCAACUUCUGUCAAAGUGUUGUGAGAUACAUUUAAGUGAGUCAAAGAGCCAUUCCCCACCUCUCGCAUCCACUGUGGAAUCUUGCCUUCAAUUUUGUUGCAAGAGAGGUGUUGAAGUAAUGGUCAGCAUGCAGCAACCAAGACUGUCAAAGGCACUACAUGCAGAAGCUGCUGGUUCACCUAGUCAGCAAGCUGUUUAUGUUUCAUUUUGUAAUUUUAAGUUAGAGUAAUGUAACUUAGUUGCUUUAUAACUAUGUUAGGUUUAUGUUUGAUGUAAUUUUGAUGUUGACUGAGCUGAUAAAUCAGCUUUGUUUGUUUAUUCAAGCUAAUUAGCACAAGUUACUAUGUGUAUUAGUGGUAGUAGGUGAAGUUUAGGUCAACCUACUGUUUUGUCAAGAUUGUAAACUUGUUUUAUGUAUUGGCUUUGUGCCAUAUUUAGUUUGAUGAAUGAAUUCAAGAAGUUAUCAUCCAUAUGCUCUCCAUUUUUAGUUUUGCUUAAAAAUCCAUUUGAGUUUUCUGCUUUGUUUCUCCUACAAGUCACGAGACUUGCCAUACAAGCAUUCUGCUGAAGCUUGCUGCUGCUGCCUCUUGCACCAACAAUUGGUAUCUAGAGCCACAUUCUUAGAGGACCUGUUGUAGUUCAGUAUCAAAACGAUGGCAUCAUCAGGUUUUUCACCAGCUUCACCACCUGUCUUCAAUGGAGAGGGCUUCAACAUUUGGGCAGUUAAGAUGAGGACUUACCUGCAGGCAUUCGACCUAUGGGAAGUUGUUAACUCAGAUGCUGAGCCAGCACCUCUUCGAGCUAAUCCAACAGUUGCUCAAAUAAGGCAACACACUGAUGAAAGGACAAAAAGGCACAAGGCCAUGUCAUGCAUACAGAAUUGUGUGACAGAUGUGAUCUUUAUGAGGAUCAUGGCCUGUGAGACACCAAAGGAGGCUUGGGACAAGCUGAAAGAAGAAUUUCAGGGGACUGAGAAAACAAGGCAACAACAGCUGCUCAAUUUGAGAAGAGAUUUCGAAAAUCUCAAAAUGAAAGAGGAAGAAACAGUUAAGCAGUACUCAGACCGGAUUAUGGCUGUUGUAAACAGCAUAAGGCUCCUAGGAGAGCAAUUCAGUGAAGCUAGAAUGGUUGAGAAAGUCAUGUCCACUCUACCAGAGAGGUAUGAAGCUAAAAUUUCAUCCCUCGAAGACUCAAGGGACUUGACAACUAUCUCCUUAACUGAGCUAAUCAAUGCCUUGUAUGCAUAAGAGCAAAGAAGAGCUAGCAGACAAGAGGAGCACCAGGAAGGGGCUUUUCAAGCCAAAGAAGCCUCGAGCAUCAAAACUCAUAAAGGCAAAAAGUUCUGGAAAAACAAGCCUAAGCCUGAUGCUGCUAGGAGCAGUGACCAACUCUGCAGACAUUGUAAAAGAGCUGGUCAUCCAGAAGAUAGAUGCUGGUUUAGACCAGAUGCAGUAUGCCAAAACUGCAAGAAAAAAGGCCAUGUUGAAAAAGUUUGCAAGAAUAGAAGCAAACCAAGACAGAAUCAAUUUCAGCAACAAAAGGUGGAAGCUCGAGUAGCUGAAGAAAGUAGUGAUCAAGAAGAACAUGUUUUUGCUGUGUCAUGUGCAGCAAAUCAGAAGAAGGGUUCAAAGGGCUGGCUUCUAGACAGUGGGUGCACAAACCACAUGUCACCAGAUGCAACUAUCUUCAAAACCCUGGACAGAACCUGCAAAACCAAAGUAAAAAUUGGAAAUGGUCAGUUAAUCAAUGCUGAAGGAAGAGGAGAUGUGCUGAUUCAUACUUCUACAGGUGGCAAAAUCAUUUCAAAUGUACUUUUGGUACCUGAAAUCGAUAGGAACCUUCUCAGUAUAACUCAACUACUUGAGAAAGGUUACUCAGUUGUUUUCAAGGAGAAAGAAUGUCAAAUUUUUGAUCCAAGUGGAUCAAAUCUUAUAACAGUCACCAUGACUGAUAAAUGUUUUGAAGUAGACUGGCCAAAUGACUCACAUUCAGCCUGCAUAGCCUCCACUAAUGACUCGAGACUCUGGCAUCAGAGGCUUGGACAUGCAAACUACAAAUCCAUAGCCCGCAUGGUCAAUGAAGGUCUGGCAGAAAAUUUCAUUGAUUCAGUGAAGAAUGAUGAGCUUUGUGAGAUAUGUCAGCAAGGAAAAUUGGCAAGAUUGCCAUUUCCAACAAGCACAACAUGGAGAGCAUCAGAGAAGCUCCAGCUUGUGCAUACAGAUGUGUGUGGACCAAUGAAGACUGAGUCUCUCAAAGGAAGCAGGUACUUUAUUUUAUUUAUUGAUGACUUAACAAGAUACUGCUGGAUUUAUUUUCUAAAACAGAAAUCAGAAGUACCAUCUAUGUUCCUGAAGUAUAAGGCUGCUGUUGAAACUGAGUCUGGUUGCAAACUUAGAGCAAUGAGGUCAGAUAAUGGAACUGAGUACACCUCAGCUCAGUUCCAAGUCUACUGUGAAGAAGCAGGUAUCAAACACCAGUUGACUAAUGUGUAUACACCCCAACAGAAUGGGGUCAGUGAAAGGAAAAACAGAAGCUUGAUGAACAUGGCAAGAUGUCUUCUGUUUGAGAAGAAUUUGCCCAAAAGUCUGUGGGCUGAAGCUGUUAACACAGCAGUUUAUCUCUAAAAUAGGCUCCCAACCAAGGCUCUGGCUGAGAAGACUCCAUUUGAAGCCUGGUUUGGGUUUAAGCCAUCACUGGCUCAUCUCAGAACCUUUGGUUGUCUGUGCUAUACUCAAGUUCCAGCUGAGAAGAGAAGCAAGCUAGACAAAAGAGCUCAAGCAGGGAUCCUGAUCGGCUACAGCUUGGUUAAGAAGGGCUACAGAAUUCUAGAACCUGCUACAAACAAGAUAUUGGUUAGCAGGGAUGUUGUUUUCAAUGAAAAAGGACACUGGAAUUGGGAGAAGGCUGAACCAGAGGCAGUGGCUGAAGAUCUGGCAGUGGACCAAGUUGAAAAUGGUGAAAACACACCUGAAAUGGAUGUAGAUGAUGUUCCAAUCAGAGGCACUCGAUCACUGGCUGAUGUUUAUGAAAGAGCACAAGUGGCUACUGUUGAACCAAAUUGCUUUGAAGAAGCAGAAAACCAGGAGGACUGGAAGCAAGCAAUGAUUGAAGAAAUCAGAAUGAUUGAAAAGAAUCAGACCUGGAGUCUGGUUGAUAAACCAACAAACAGGAAGAUUAUUGGUGUCAAAUGGGUUUAUCGAGUAAAGAACAAUGCUGAUGGUAGCCUAAACAAGUUAAAGGCUAGAUUGGUUGUGAAAGGCUUCAGUCAAAGGUAUGGAUCAGACUACCUGGAAACCUUUGCACCAGUGGCCAGGUUAGACACUAUUAGACUGCUAGUUGCCUUAGCAGCACAAAAACAGUGGCUGAUACACCAACUUGAUGUAAAAUCAGCAUUUCUGAAUGGAUUCCUUGAAGAGGAGAUUUAUGUGGAGCAACCUCAAGGUUUCAAGGUGUCUGGCAAAGAAGAUAUGGUGUACAAGCUCAACAAAGCCUUGUAUGGCUUGAAACAGGCUCCAAGGGCCUGGUAUAGCAGAAUAGAUGGCUAUCUGACCAGUCAAGGAUUUGAAAGAAGUCUUAGCGAGCCAACUCUGUAUGUUAAAUCAACUAGUGCUGAAACUCAGCUCAUUGUCUCAAUAUAUGUCGAUGACCUACUGGUGACAGGAGGAGAUCAUGAGAUGCUAAGCAGUUUUAAAGUCAAAAUGCAACAGCACUUUGAAAUGUCAGACUUGGGAUUGAUGUCUUACUUCUUAGGCAUGGAAGUAACUCAAGCUAAGAAUGGGAUUUGGCUAAGUCAAAAGACCUUUGCUAUGAAGGUUCUCAACAAAUUCUCAAUGGAGAAUUGCAAAGCAACCAGCACACCAGUUGCUGUUGGAGAAAAACUCUCGAGCCAAGACAAGCAUGAAAAGGUUUGUGAAACAACCUAUCGAAGUCUAGUUAGAUGUUUGUUGUAUUUGACUGCUACUAGACCUGACAUAAUGUAUGCUGUGAGUCUACUCUCGAGGUUUAUGCAUUCUUCAAAUGAAAGUCAUUUUAGAGCUGCAAAAAGGGUUCUAAGAUACAUCAAAGGAACUUUGUCCUAUGGAAUGCAGUUUACCAAGGCUGAGAACUUGAGGCUAGUUGGAUAUUGUGACAGUGAUUGGGCUGGUUCUUUGGAUGACAUGAAGAGCACUACAGGUUAUGCAUUCAACAUAGGCUCUGCUAUGAUAUGCUGGAGCUCAAAGAAGCAAGGAGUAGUGGCUCAGUCGACUGCAGAAGCAGAAUAUGUGGCUGCUGCUGCAGCAGUCAAUCAAGCCAUAUGGCUUAGAAAAAUUUUGAAAGAUAUCAAUCAUGAGCAAAAGGAAGCAACUGAGAUAAUGUCUGACAACCAAUCAGCAGUUGCUAUUGCAAAGAAUCCUGUUUUUCAUGGAAGGACCAAGCACUUCAACAUCAAACUUCAUGCAGUUCGGGAAAUGGAACAAGCUCAUGUUGUUAAGCUGAUACAUUGCAGUUCUGAAGAGCAAAUUACUGAUAUUUUAACAAAAGCACUAAGUGUUUCCAAGUUUCAACACCUGAGAGCUAAUAUGGGAGUUUGCAACAUGCUAACCAAGGAGGAGUGUUGAAGUAAUGGUCAGCAUGCAGCAACCAAGACUGUCAAAGGCACUACAUGCAGAAGCUGCUGGUUCACCUAGUCAGCAAGCUGUUUAUGUUUCAUUUUGUAAUUUUAAGUUAGAGUAAUGUAACUUAGUUGCUUUAUAACUAUGUUAGGUUUAUGUUUGAUGUAAUUUUGAUGUUGACUGAGCUGAUAAAUCAGCUUUGUUUGUUUAUUCAAGCUAAUUAGCACAAGUUACUAUGUGUAUUAGUGGUAGUAGGUGAAGUUUAGGUCAACCUACUGUUUUGUCAAGAUUGUAAACUUGUUUUAUGUAUUGGCUUUGUGCCAUAUUUAGUUUGAUGAAUGAAUUCAAGAAGUUAUCAUCCAUAUGCUCUCCAUUUUUAGUUUUGCUUAAAAAUCCAUUUGAGUUUUCUGCUUUGUUUCUCCUACAAGUCACGAGACUUGCCAUACAAGCAUUCUGCUGAAGCUUGCUGCUGCUGCCUCUUGCACCAACAAGAGGUCUAAGCUUUCCAAACUUUUAAGCCCUUUUAAAAAUUGGGGGAAUUCACUAAGAUUGCAAGAUGACAAAAAUAAGCUUGUAAGAUUAACAGUAGAAGUUGUAUUAGAUGUUAAGGAUAGGCUGUUAUAUGAAAGGUCAAGAUAUUCGAGAUUUGGAAGGUUUGAGAACAUGCGAAACUCUAUGACACCACUAAGAUAAUUUGAGGAUAAGCUAAGUUGGGUAAGAUUGAGAAGUUGGAAUAUUGAAGAUGGAAGAGGACCUUGGAGUUUAUUAUUCUCUAACCAUAUCCAUUCUAGUGAUUUGGAUUGGAAUUCUUUGAUAUGCCCACUGAAUUGAUUUUGAGAGAGAUAUAUUGUCUUUAAGGAGGGAGCAAUAUACAACCAUGACGGAAGUGUUCCAUUGAGUAAAUUGUCAGAUAAGUCUAAAUAUAUUAGAUUAUGAAAAGCGGUUACCUCAUCUGGAAUGGAACCUUCUAAAGAAUUGUUAGAUAUUGUCAAGUAUUCCAGCUGCGUUAGGUUUAGAAUUGACAAUGGAAUUUGUCCACUCAAUUUGUUCCAUCCCAAGUCUAAAACAGUGAGUUGCAAGAGGUUCCCCAAUGAUCUUGGAAUCUGUCCACUCAAUUGGUUCAGCCACAAGUCUAAAUGAGUGAGUUGCAAGAGGUUCCCUAAUGAUCUUGGAAUUUGUCCACUCAAUUGGUUCUUCGACAAGUCUAAAUGAGUGAGUUGCAAGAGGUUCCCCAAUUUUCUUGGAAUUUGUCCACUCAAUUGGUUCUCCGACAAGUCUAAAUGAGUGAGUUUCAAGAGAUUCCCCAGUGAUCUUGGAACCAGUCCUGAUAAGUUGGAAUGGGAGAGAACUAAAAACUUCAAGGACACAAGAUUCCCCAUCGAGUCAGGCAAUCCUCCACAAAUAUUUGCGUCUGAAAUUAUCAAUUGUUCAAGAUUGCUGCUCCGAUUGAACUUCAAAGGAUCAAGAUUGAGGUUUUGGUUGCCUCCCAAGUUGAGGAGAUUGAGGUUUGGCAAAUCAAAAAUGUUUUUUGGGAAUUUUCCUUGCAAAUCACAACCAACAAGACUGAGAGACCUUAGAGAAGAGGAUAGAUUCAUGAAGACAUGAGCAUUAACUGAAGACAUGUCCAUUUCAUCCAAAAACAGACGUCUGACCUCGGUUAGGUUGUGAACAAGACCCUCCAGAGCAUAUUUGUCAAUUGUUAAUAGUUCAUCAAACCCAGAAAGAUCAAGUGAAACCAAUUUUGACAGGUGGGAGACUUGGGAUGGGACUUCUGAAAACCAUGUAUUGGAAAGGUUGAGGUAGAAUAGGCUUGUAAACCGACCGAACUCGGAUGGAAUUUUGGAAGAAUUAAAAUCAUUGUAGGCAAGGUUGAGUUUUUGAAGGUGAGGAAGAAGGAAGAGAGUGGUAUUGGAAGGGAAGGUGCCAUAUAGCCAACUGCAGCUCAAGUCAAGGGCAAUAACAUGAGCAUUUAGGUGGUCACAAGUGACCCCAUCCCAUGAGCAGCAAUCUGUACCCUCCUUCCAUGAAUUUGUCUUGGGAUAAGAUUUAAGGCCAGCAAAAUAAUCGCAAUGAUCAAAAGAAGCAUCCUCUCUUAUGGAAAAGGAGUCCUUAAACUGGAUUAGUGAAGAGCAGGAGUGAGAUCCUGAAGAAGAAAAAGAAGCAUAAAGAUGGAGAAAGAAGAGGAAUAGGGAGAGAAAGAGAUAGGAGGCCAUGUUAUGUUGGUAGAGGAAGAUGAAGGAUAGGAAUGGUAUUUAUAGGCAACAAAUAAUACCACAACAUUGGUGUUACAGUCUUUUUUCUUUUACAUUGAAAAGCUAUGGAUAUUAGAUUUUCAAAAUUUUUGUAUUUUUCACAAUCAUCAACAACCACUUUGUCUUCAUUUUACCAUAUAUUUUUCAUUCUUAAAAUUGGAUUAUUUUCUUUUAGCAAAAUCUUGUAUUUCAUUUGAACUCCCUAAACAACUAAAAAAUUAAGAUUGAUAAAAUUACAAAGUAGAUUGACUUAGUCUUCUUCCUUGUAACACGUAAAGAAUUUCCACGCAAAAGAACAAAAUUGUGCUCUAUUCUUUACGUUUGAGGAAGAAGACUGCUGGAAUUUUAAUCCACUGAUUCCAUAAAAACGUGUAUACUUAUAUAUAUAUAUAUUUAUAACCUCAUAAUUUAAAUCUAAAAUCUCAUUUGUUAUAAAUUCUGAUAAAUUUAUUUGGGAAUUGCUAUUUUUCAUUCGUUAAUUAUUUCUCUUUUAAUCGAGUAAAAAAUUAAAACUAAAGACAUAAUGAUUUAUUUGGUAUUUUUUAACUUCGCAAACGAAAAAUUAUUUUAGCUUUCUAUUUUUUUUUAUCUCUUUUAGUCUUGAAAUUUAUAUGGUUCAUUAAAUCACCCAAAAAAAUGAUGAAAAAAAUAACAAAACUAGCACCUACGUGGCUGAUGUUGACCCUUAAUAGUUAAUGGCAACACCUAUGUAGUUGUUAACAGAUACCACACCAACACUGUUUGUUGACGUGACAAUGCCACAUGAUCAAUAAUCGCAGACAUGGUAGCGCCACGCCAUCGCCCAUUGAUGACAUAUUAACCUUUGAGUUAAACUCAAAUAAUUUGGUCCCAAAUAGUUUUCAACACAAAAGAAUAGAGGAAGAAGACUGCUACAGGUUUAACUAUCAAUUGUCUAUUGACUAUACUUUUAACUCCACUAAAAAAGACCAAGACUAAGACUAUCAAUUGUCUAUUGACUACACUUUAACUCGACAAAAAAAGACCAAGACUAAGACUAUCAAUUGUCUAUUGGCUUCACACUUGCUGUUGCUUCCUCCUAUUUCUCUCACCCAAACUUAAUUUACAAGCAAUGUGGAAAUUUUGGACAUUUGCCCACAACGUACAAUACUUCCACACCAUUUGCAGUAUUGACUACGUUUACUUGAGGGAAAACAAAGACAUGAACGCUGGAAAUUUUAACUAGUUUGUACCGUCAAUGAAGCUACGUACCUAAAAGCCAUUUAGGAUAUCAAUUCCUGUAAUUGGAGUAAUCUCAUCGUUGCUGCAAUCUUUUGACAGUUUAAUCGAAUCUUAAAUAUGUUACUCUGCAAUGCUAUUGUAAAUAUUUUUCUUAAAUUUGUCGAUAGAUUUAUAGGUUUGGCACAAAAUUAAGAAUACACAAAGGCAGGUUGAAUUAUUCCAUGUUUGAACAUCUGCAACAUAAAUGCAUAUGGCAAAAGGGCUCAAACCAUACCUUAUGUUCAUGAAUUCUCAUCAUCACGUGUUUAUAAAUGCAACUCAAACUUCAAUAAUUGAAUCUUUUGUAAUUCUACAUGUAUUUUUUUAUUAUGGCGAGCAGUAUAAUGUUUACUAAAAAUUGAAAUUCAAGAAAGAAGACAUAUAUAGUUGCACCAUACAAGAUGUUACACUCGAACUAAACGCUUACAAAUAGUACGAAAUGCAAUUGAAUACAGAGGAAUUGGUACAAUCAUAAAAACAGACACAUACCAAUGCAACUUUUCACCAUAGGAAAAACUUUCUGACAGACUACUAAACAAGAAAUUAUGAAGACACAGUAGAAAUGCUUUAACUUCAUUUGCACCAACUAGAUCAUUCUUCAUCCACUCAUGCGAUUGCUAUAUUUUGGCUUUCUUCUUCGCCUCUUCUCAUGUUGGUCUUCAACCAAAUUCACGAACCUUUUCACCUUAUCGGUUUGGAAAACAACACAUCCCAUGGCCAUUCCAAACACUACCCCGGAUCCAUAACCUAUCAACACCACUUUCCAACCAAAAGCAAUGUUUGCUUUUGAGCCAUCCUUUUCCAGCACAUUUGGAGGUGGUGUCUCAUUGAUGCUGCAACCUUUGGAGACUGGAAAUCCACAUAGUCUCUGUUUCCUUCGUAUGAAUUGUUUCCAAAUGUAUUGAACUGUUUGCCUUGAGGAAUCUGACCAUGGAGUUGAUUUUCGGAAACGUUUAAUAAGGAAAGAAAUGCCGGAUCUGCCAAUAUCUCUGGAAUUAACUCAGUUCAAAAGACUAUAUAACUCGUAAAGUUUGGUCGAAGACUAGCAGGGGUCAAGAAAAAUAAUUACUUGAAUUGUCAAAAUUUUGGAUUUUAGAGAAACAAGCACUAGACUUGGAGCUAUGGUCAUGCAAGGAACCAUGCAUUUCAUUUGACUUUAGUACAAGAACUUGUAGCCGUGGAAGACUUCCCUACCAAUGAGGAAAUGUAUCAUUGAUCUUGUUGUUCCUAAGAUCUAGCACUUCCAAAGACCUAAAAUUGAGGAUGGAUGGUGACAAAUGCCAUUCAAAUUGAUUUCCAUUUAAGUUGAGAUUACUCAAUUGGCAUCCCUUUGCAAAUGUUGGAGGAAUCAAUCCAUAAAACUUGUUCUUCUUUAGAUUCAAAAAUUCCAGGUUGUUGCUCAAAUUUCCAAAACAUUGUAGAAUAGUUCCACUCAAUUUAUUGUGGGACAAGUCAAGAAUUUGGAGAGCACUCACAUUGCCUAUCAAAGAAGAGACCUCUCCACUUAAACUAUUGUUUGAAGUAAAAAACACGUUGAUUGUCGAAGAUGGGAUUGGAAGAUUUCCAUGGAUCAAAUUGGAGCUUAAGUCAAGAAUAUUAAUAUUCUUCCAUGGAAGUUGCUCAACUUCUGUCAAUGAAUUGUGAGAUAAAUUUAAGUAACUCAAAGAGUCACACGUCACUUCUUGCAGCCAUUGUGGAAUCUUCCCUUCAAUUCUAUUGUUAGAAAGCUCCAAAGUUUUCAACUUUUUUAACCCUUUCAAAAAUCGGGGGAAUUGGCUGACAUUAUUUGAGCUUAAGGAUAGGCUGUUUAGUGAAAGGUCAAGAUAUUCGAGAUUUGGGAGAUUUGAGAACAUGCCAAACUCUAUGACACCACUGAAAUUAUUUGAGUAUAAAAGGAGCCAGGUAAGGUUGAGAAAUUGGAAUAUUGAAGAUGGAAGAGGACCUUGGAGAUUAUUAUUCCCUAACACUAUCAUUCUAGUGAUUUGGAUUGGAAUUCUUUGAUGUGUCCACUGAAUUGAUUCUGAGAGAGAGAUAUUUCCAUUAAGGAGAAAGCAUUAUACAACCAUGACAGAAGUUUUCCAUUGGGUAAAUUGUUAGAUAAGUCUAAAGAUAUUAGAUUAGGGAAAGCAGCUACCUCAUCUGGAAUGGGACCUUCUAAAGAAUUUUCAGCUAUUCUCAAGUGUUCAAGCUGUGUUAGGUUUACAAUUGACAAUGGAACUUGUUCACUCAAUUGGUUCCAUGACAAGUCUAAAUAUAUGAGCCACAAGAGGUUCCCCAGAGAUCUCGAAAUUGAUCCCUGUAAAUUGGAAUUAGAGAGAGACAAAUAUUUCAAGACGUGCAGGUUGUCAAUCAAAUCAAUCAAUUUUGAAAAGGAGGACAUCCAUGACAGAUCCAAAUGUUCAAGAUUACUGCUCUGAUUGAACUUCAGAAGAUCAAGAAUCAGGUUUCGGUUGUAUCCUAAGUUGAGCAAAUUGAGGUUUGGCGAAUGAAGAACGUUUCUUGAGAAUUUUCCUUGCAAAUCACAACCACCAAGACUGAGAGACUUUAUAGAAGAGGAUAGAUUGAUGAAAACAUUAGGAUUAAUAGAAGGCAUGAUAAUUCUAUCAAGAAAAAGAUGUCUCACCUCAGUUAGGUUGUGAACAAGUCCCUUCAAAGAAUUUUAUCAAGUGUUAAUUGGUCAGAAAAAACAUUAUGAGAGAGAUCAAGUGAAACCAAUUUUGACGAGUGGGAGAUUUGGGAUGGGACUUUUCCUGCAAAUAACGUUUCUGAGAUGUUAAGAUACACCAGGCUUGUAAACCGGCCGAACUCGGAUGGAAUUUUGGAAAGAUUAAAAUCAUUGUAGGCAAGGUUGAAUUUUUGAAGGUGAGGAAGAAGGAAGAGAGUGGUAUUGGAAGGGAAGUUGCCAUAUAGACAACUGCAGCUCAAGUCAAGGGCAAUAUAUAACUUGAGCAUUUAGGUGGUCACAAGUGACCCCAUCCCAUGAGCAGCAAUCUGUACCCUCAUUCCAUGAAUUUGUCCUGGGAUAAGAUUUAUGGCCAUCAAUCUCAUUGCUAUAAGAAGAAGCAUACUCUGUUAUGGAAAAAGAGUCCUUAAACUGGAUUAGUGAAGAGCAGGAGUGAGAUCCUGAAGAAGAAAAAGAAGCAUAAAGAUGGGGAAAGGUUAAGGUAGAAUAGGCUUGUAAACCGACCGAACUCGGAUGAAAUUUUGGAAAGAUUAAAAUCAUUGAAGGCAAGGUUGAGUUUUUGAAGGUGAGGAAGAAGGAAGAGAGUGGUAUUGGAAGGGAAGUUGCCAUAUAGCCAACUGCAGCUCAAGUCAAGGGCAAUAACUUGAGCAUUAAGGUGAUGACAAGUGACCCCACACCAUGAGCAGCAAUCUGUACCCUCCUUCCAUGAAUUUGUCUUGGGAUAAGAUUUAAGGCCGGCAAAAUCAUCGCAACACAAAGCAGCAUGGCCUGUCUGAGUGAUCGAAAAUGAAUUCUUGAACUGGAUUAGAGAAGCAGCUUCGUGGUGAGAGCAGGAGUGAGAUCCUGAAGAAGAAGAAGCAUAAAGAUGGGGAAAGAAGAGGAAUAGGCAGAGAGAGAGAUAGGGGCCAUGUUAUGUUUGUAGAGGAAGAUGAAGGAUAGGAAUGGUAUUUAUAGGCAACAAAUAGAAUCCAAUAUUAAACAAAAGAUUUGAUGAUUAAUACCACAACACCACUGUUACAGUGUUGUUUCUUUUAUGGUAUAAAGAUUGUUAUUGGAAGAGUUUGAAAUGCUGACAUUGAAAACCUAUAUUUUUCAAUACUCAUCAACAACCACUUCCUUUUUACCAUAUCUUUUUCAUUCCCAAAAUUGGAUACAUUGUUUUACCAAAAUUUUGUAUUUCAUUUGAACUCCCUAAACAACUGAGAAAAUUAACAUUGAUGAGAUUACAAAGUAGAUUGACUUAGUCUUCUUCCUUAUAAUAGGUAAAAAAAAAAUGUGAGUGUCUAUUCACUUAUAAUAUUUCCAUGCUAGAGGUAGUUUUUGGAAAAUCUUUAAUUAAAUCUUAAUUUCAUUUUGUUAAAAUUUUAAACUGGGUUAUCGAAUUGGCUUCUGAUUGUAGGUUGAUCAAUGAUGGGCCGAUUUCUUCUUCUUCUUUUUUAAUUUUUUUAGGGUUAAUUUAUAAUAUACUGCUUAAUGUUGUUGAUUUAUUUUUCUGGUCAUCGUUUCAUCCGUUUGUUGAAGAUAACUGAAUUUUUAUUGGUUGUAAUUGGACUUGGGUUUUAGCCAAUGACUAUAAUCAAAGGGUUAAUUUAAGGUUCCAAUGAAUUGUUUGAAAAUUUUAUUAUUUUUCUUUUCAAUUAGUUGUUUUACAAGGAUUUAACUUAUAUUAGUCAAAUGAACUGGCUUUAAAAAAUGAACAAGAACGAAGAAAUUGGAUGGUUAACUGGACACUGGAAAGGGGGAAUGCUAAAAGUUGUAAAUGUUUUGAAUAUAGAGUUGUAUUCUUUUCAUGGCUUCAGAAAAAUGUAUGCAAUGUUUGGCCAGCGAUAAUGGACAAGUUUUUUUAAACCUCCAUGCCUUAGUCAUGCUUUCAUAAACAUGGGCAGCUAACACCGAGAAGUCUCAUUGAAUGUAGUAAGCGAUUUAAAAGUGAAGCUCAUAUGCGACCGGGGAUGGUUGAUUUGAGGUUUAAUUCUAGCUAGUAGAUUCUGUUGUUUGUUAAGCGUCUUUUUGGAGACAAAUGUCUGAGAUUGCUGGAAAAUGCUUCUUACCAUCAUAUUAAUGUGUAUUUGGGUUGCGUUUUCUUAGAGUUUUGGAUUCUUUGCAUCAUAUCAUAAAAUUGAGUUAGAUAUAACAUCUCAUUGUUAUCUGUUAAUUGUUUCACUUGGGACCAGGAGCAUGCUGGCAACUCAAUACAGCUGUAAAUGCAUAUUUCAGUGAGGGUGAUAGGUAUAUAUUUAUGAAUUAUCCUAAUAUUUUUUAUGAUAAGUAAUUCUAGGUUUAUAGCUUUAUUUGUUUGUUUGUUUUCUCGUGUUUCCUACAAAAAAAGGCCAACAUCAACCAUAGUUCCUGUAGAUGAUGCCAUGGAUAUAGAUGAUCCAAAUGAAGUAGUACCAAAUGGGCCAGUCCUUCCAUUUCUACCAUCAUCUAGAACAAACGAACAAUCGUCUCUUUUUCUGAAAUUUCCGGCGCGACGCCUGUGCGGGGGGCCUUGGCCGGAAUCUGGACUUAGUCCAGAGAGUUUUUUUUUCUUUCUUCUGUUUUUUUUUUUCAAUGUUCAAAUGAUUUUUUUUCUCAAAACACUAAUUUUUAUGCCCAGUGAAACGGCGCCGUUUUGGCUAAGCUCCAAAACACCCAAAACGACGUCGUUUCACUCGCCACCAACUUGAAUUUUAUAACUACUCCUAUGCCAACCAGCAAACCAUAACAGCGUACAUAAAAAAGAGGAUGCUGACUUACAAUUCCUUUCAUUUCACCAUAACCAAUCAAAUCCCUUGCAAUGCUGUUUGGAUCACAGCAGCUCAUCUUUCAAUCCUAGAUGGCUCCGCUAAUUUUUUGAAAGCAUACAUAAACUGUUAAAGAAAUAAAUGGAUAAAACAACUACAGGAUAGAAGGCUGAAAAAUUACAAAGUGCAAUGACCUUAUUGUUAAAAUUUCAACGCCCAUUCCUUGGAAAGAUAUCUUCACCAUUGCCCACUCAAGAGAACUCAAAUAGCAGCAAGAUCUAGUAUAAAAUGUAACUCUCAACAACACACACAAAUGUUUGUUCUAUCAAGGAGCAAUACACAGACAUAUUCACCUACCCUUGGUUCUAGCUUUGCAUAUUACAUAACACUCUUCAAAUGUCUUAUUAAAUUCUCACUUUUACGAGUGCUAUGAUAAUCAAAUAAAAUUCAAUUCAAUUUUAAGUUCCAUAUAACACUUACAUGGCUACAAAAUGUGUGUGUGUUUAAGUGUCGACAACCACAAACAAUCCAAAUUUGCAGAGAAACCACCCAUUAUAUAUAGGUUUGCCAAUGAGAUGGCAAGCAGAUUGCUAGCUAGAAAUUCAUGCAUCUUUGAAUCACCAGUUCAAUUAAUAAGCUUAAGUAGAGGAAAUAGGGACUUUACAUCCACCAAUUAAAGCAACCUAUAUGUACCCUUUUACAGUCUGCAUUGUUCCAUGUUUCAAUUCAUUACAUCAUUCCUUCAACUCUGCUAUAUAUUAUUACCGUCUCCAGAUAACCAAACCUUUUACUGCUAACUUGUAAAAAAAUUAUGAAAAUACAACAGAGAUCAUUGAGACAUUGUUGAAGUUGGCUUGCAUGCAGAGCAAGAAGCAGACCAAGCUGUCCGAGCCAUGCAAGUUGCAGCUGAAGCUUAUGCUGCUGUUUUGUUACUUUCAAAUAGAUAUUUUAUUACUUAGUUAGAUAUGAACUAAGUUGUUGAUAUGCUUGAUGUGAUUAGGUGCUGAUAGAUUGAUAAAUCAGCUUUACCAAGUGUACAAGCAAUGUUUAUCAAGUUACUAAGCCACUUAGUGGAGUUAGGCACGUGUUUAGGUAACAUUUUCUUAUUUUUGACCAGCUGAUUGCUCGGUAUAUGUAAUGGAAUUGUGCCUUCAUUUGGUCUUUACUUAAGCAUUUUUAUUCAAAAAGCUCUUGCUGUUUUUGUUUUGUUUGUUGUGCAAGAUAUCAAUGCUUUAUGCUUAAGUUUCUGUCAAAAUUUCUCAUUCUGUUUUCUUAGUUCCUACAGACAUUUUGUUCUCCUUUCUCCUUUACUGAGCAGUAGCAAAGAUUAUUGAGACUAAAUUGAAAUCCAUGAAAGAAGACAUAAACAACACCACCAUACAAAAUGUCACACUCAAACAAACCAUUACAGAUAGUACGAAAUGCAAUGAAAGACAGAGGAAUUGGUACAAUAAUAAAGACAGCCAGAUACCAAUGCAACCCUUCACCAUAGGCACAACGGUCUACAAACAAGAAAUUAUGAAAAAUACAACACUAAUUCUUGAACAUCAUUUGCAGUAAUUAGAUCCUUCUUCGUCUACUGCUGCGAUUGCCUUUCUUUGACUUUCUUCUUCGCCUCUUCUCAUGUUGGUUUUCAACCAAAUUCACCAACCAUUUUGGCUUUCCAGUUUGGAAAACAACAUAUCCCACGGACAUUCCGAACACUACUCCGCAUCCACAACCUAUCAUCACCACUUUCCAACCAAAAGCAAUGUUUGAUUUUGAGCCAUCUUUUUCAAGCACAUUUGGAGGUGGUGGGUCAAUGAUGUUGCAACCUUUCGAGACCGGAAACCCACACAGUCCCUUAUUUCCUUCAUAUGAAUCAUUUCCAAAUGUGUUGAAUUGUUUGCCUUGGGGAAUCUUACCAUGGAGUUGAUUUUCAGAAACAUUUAAGGACGAAAGAAACGGCAGAUCUGCCAAUCUAUUUGGAAUCGCCCCAGACAACCUGUUUGAAGAUAGGUCCAACCAUUCAAGACUUGUCAAAUUCCCUAUUGAUGUGGGGAUACCACCAUUAAGGUUAUUAUGAGAAAGGUUGAGCCCUUUCAGUAAGUUAAGCUUCCCAAUAACCUUUGGAAUACCCCCUUCAAACUGAUUGUUUGAUAGAUCAAUGAUCAUCCACAUGGUGAAAAUUUUCACCAAUUCCCUAUCUUGUCCUUUCAUAACAAUUCCAAUGGAAUAGGUAUAGAAGUCACCUCCAUCAUCAUUCACCCCCAUGUACGACACUGUACUACCAAUCUUCUCUAGAUUUAUGAUAGCCUUGAAGCUGUUGAUGUAUCUCACUGGUAGGGGUCCAGAAAAAUAAUUACUUGAGAGAUCAAAAAUUUGGAUUUUAGAGAAAAAAGGGAUAGACUUGGAGCUAUUGACACAUAAGGAACCAUGCAAUUGAUUUGACUUCAAUACAAGAACUUGUAGCCGUGGAAGACUUCCCAACCAAUGAGGAAAUGUAUCAUUGAUCUUGUUGUUACCAAGAUCUAGCACUUCCAGACCAUUACAAUUAAGGAUGGAUGGUGUCAAAGGCCCUUCUAACAGAUUUCCAUUUAAGUUGAAAUUACUCAAUUGGCAUCCCAUUGCAAAUGUUGGAGGAAUCGUCCCAUAGAACUUGUUCUUCUUCAGAUUCAAGAAUAGAAGGCUGUUGCUCAAAUUUCCAAAACAUUGUGGAAUUGUUCCACUCAAGUUAUUGUGGGACAAAUCAAGAAUUUCAAGAAAAGCGGCAUUGCAUAUUAAAGAAGAGACCUCUCCAUUGAAACUAUUAUUAGAGAUCAAAAAGACAUUGAUGGUCGAAGCUGGAAUCGGAAGAUUUCCACUGAUCAAAUUGGAGCUUAAGUCAAGAACGUCAAUAUUCUUCCAUGGAAAGUGCUCAACUUCUGUCAAAGAGUUGUGAGAUACGUUUAAGUAAGUCAAAGAGUCAUUCCCCACCUCUUGCAUCCACUGUGGAAUCUUGCCUUCAAUUUUGUUGUAAGAGAGGUCUAAGCUUUCCAAACUUUUAAGCCCUUUUAAAAAUUGGGGGAAUUCACUAAGAUUGCAAGAUGACAAAAACAACCUUGUAAGAUUAACAGUAGAAGUAGUAUUAGAUGUUAAGGAUAGGCUGUUAUAUGAAAGGUCAAGAGAUUCGAGAUUUGGAAGGUUUGAGAACAUGCGAAACUCUAUGACACCACUAAGAUAAUUUGAGGAUAAGCUAAGUUGGGUAAGAUUGAGAAGUUGGAAUAUUGAAGAUGGAAGAGGACCUUGGAGUUUAUUAUUCUCUAACGCUAUCCAUUCUAGUGAUUUGGAUUGGAAUUCUUUGAUAUGCCCACUGAAUUGAUUUUGAGAGAGUUUUAUAUCCUUUAAGGAGGGAGCAGUAUACAACCAUGAUGGAAGUUGUCCACUGAGUAAAUUGUUAGUUAAGUCUAAAGAUAUUAGAUUAGGAAAAGCGGUUACCUCAUCUGGAAUAGAACCUUUUAAUGUAUUUCCAGCUAUUCUCAAGUAUUCCAGCUGCGUUAGGUUUAGAAUUGACAAUGGAAUUUGUCCAUUCAAUUGGUUCUGCCACAAGCCUAAAUAAGUGAGUUGCAAGAGGUUCCCCAAUGAUCUUGGAAUUUGUCCACUCAAUUGGUUUUGCCACAAGCCUAAAUAAGUGAGUUGCAAGAGGUUCCCCAAUGAUCUUGGAAUUUGUCCACUCAACUGGUUCCCCGAUAAGUCUAAAUGAGUGAGUUGCAAGAGAUUCCCCAGUGAUUUUGGAACCGGUCCUGAUAAGUUGGAAUAGGAGAGAUCUAAAAACUUCAAGGACACAAGAUUACCCACCGAGUCUGGCAAUCCUCCAAAAAAAUUUGCGCCUGAAAUUAUCAAUUGCUCCAAAGAUGAUAAAUUUGUGAUUGAGACAGACAAUCCUUGAAAGAAAAAAUUUCCUGAUAGACCUAAGGACUUUAAGGCCUGUAGAUUAUCAACUGAAUCAAUGAAUUCUGUAGAGAAGGACGUCCAUGACAGAUCCAAAUGUUCAAGAUUGCUGCUCCGAUUCAACUUCAAAGGAUCAAGAUUGAGGUUUUGGUUGUUUCCCAAGUUGAGGAGAUUGAGGUUUGGCAAAUCAAAAAUGUUGUUUGGGAAUUUUCCUUGCAAAUCACAACCAGCAAGACUGAGAGACCUUAGAGAAGAGGAUAGAUUCAUGAAGACAUGAGCAUUAACAGAAGCCAUCUCCAUUCCAUCCAAAAACAGAUGUCUGACCUCGGUUAGGUUUUGAACAAGUCCCUCCAGAGCAUGUUUGUCUCCUACAAACCCUGUACUGGAAAGGUCGAGGUAGAGUAGGCUUGUAAACCGACCUAACUCGGAUGGAAUUUCGGAAAGAUUAAACUCAUUGUAGGCAAGGUUGAGUUUUUGAAGGUGAGGAAGAAGGAAGAGAGUGGAAUUGGAAGGGAAGUUGCCAUAUAGCCAACUGCAGCUCAAGUCAAGGGCAAUAACAUGAGCAUUUAGGUGGUCACAAGUGACCCCAUCCCAUGAGCAGCAAUCUGUACCCUCCUUCCAUGAAUUUGUCUUGGGAUAAGAUUUAUGGCCAGCAAUCUCAUUGCAAUAAGAAGAAGCGUCCUCUGUUAUGGAAAAAGAGUCCUUAAACUGGAUUAGUGAAGAGCAGGAGUGAGAUCCAGAAGAAGAAAAAGAAGCAUAAAGAUGGGGAAAGAAGAGGAAUAGGCAGAGGAAGAGAUAGGGGGCCAUGUUAUGUCUGUAGAGGAAGAUGAAGGAUAGGAAUGGUAUUUAUAGGCAACAAAUAAUACCGCAGUGUUACAGUCUUUUUUUCUUUUACAUUGAGAAGCUAUGGAGAUUAGAUUUUCAAAAUUUUUGUAUUUUUAACAAUCAUCAACAGUCACUUAGUCUUCUUUUUACCAUAUAUUUUUCAUUCUUAAAAUUGGAUGCUAUCUUUUCGCAAAAUCUUGUGGAAAUUCUUUAGCCUUCUUCUCUAUAACACUUAAAGAAUGUGUGUAUGUAUUCAUUUGCCUGUCAACUAAAGCUAAUUAAUGUGGAAAUUCUUUUCCACCCAAAAGAACAAAAUUGUGCUCUAUUCAUUAAGUUUGAGGAAGAAGAUUGCUGGAAAUUUAAUCUACCGAUUCCAUAAAAAACGUGUAUACUUAUAUAACCUCAUAAUUCAAAUCUAAAAUCUCAUUUGUUAUAAAUUCUGAUAAAUUUCUUUGGAAUUGCUAUUUUUCAUUUGUUAAUUAUUUCUCUUUUAAUCGAGUAAAAAAUUAAAACUAAAAAGACAUAAUGAUUUAUUUGGCAUUUUUAAACUUUACAAAUAAAAAAUCAUUUUAGCUUUUCAUUUUUUUAUCUCUAUUAAAUCACCCAAAAAAAAUAAUGAAAAAGACUAACAAAACUAGCACCUACGUGGCUGAUGUUGACCCUUAGUAGUUAAUGACAACAUCUACGUAGUUGUUAACAGAUACCACACUAACACUGUUUGUUGACGUGACAAUGCCACAUGAUCAAUAAUCACCGACAUGGUAGCGCCACGCUAUCGCCCAUUGGUGACAUAUUGAUGUUUGAGUUAAACUCAAAUUACUAUUUCCUUUGUUAUAAAUUAAGAGUAUAACUAAUUUUGAUAAGAAUGAUUACUUUUCAUUAACUCAGUCUAAAGGACUAUAACACGUAAAGUUUGGCCUAUUGCAGAAUUCACAUGCAAUGCGGGGCAUUUACAUUAUGCAGAAUUCGGCACAUAUAUGGGAAUUUUUGUAUUUCCACAAUCAUCAUGUUGUUCGUGAUCAACAACUACUUCCUUUUUACCAUAUAUUUUUCAUUCAUAAAAUUGAUUACUUUUUUUUUUACGAAAGAAGUAAAAUUAUUAACAUUCAUGAUAUUACAAAGCCUUCUUCCUUAUAACACGUCAAGUUUGGCCCCAAAUAAUUUUCCAGACAAAAGAAUUAAGAGGAAGGAGACUGCUACAGAUUGACUAUACUUUUAACUCCACAAACAAAGACUAAGACUAUCAAUUGUCUAUUGACUACACUUUAACUCGACAAAAACAGAUUGACUAUACUUUUAACUCCACAAACAAAGACUAAGACUAUCAAUUGUCUAUUGACUUCACUUUAACUCGACAAAAACAGACUAAUAAGACUUUGGUUGGCUGUAAUGGGCUAUUGACUAUACUUUAACUCCGCAAAAAAAGACUAAGGCUAUCAAUUGUCUAUUGACUUCACACUUGCUGUUGCUUCCUCCUAUCUCUAUCACUUGCUUCCUCCUAUCUCUAUCACCCAAACUUAAUUUACAAGCAAUGUGGAAAUUUUGGACAUUUGGGCCACAAUGUACAAUACUUCCACACCAUUUGCAGUAUUGACUACGUUUACUUGAGGGCAAACAAAGACAUGAAUGCUGGAAAUUUUAACUAGUUUGUACCGUCAAUGAAGCUACGUACCUAAAAGCAAUGUAUUAUCACCGUCUCCAGAAAUUUUGCUAAUUCAAUUUCCCAAGAAAUAUGAUUAAUUUUGGUUAAAUUGGAGUGAACAUUACUAUUUCUGUUUUAGCAAUUAAAGCAACCUAUAUGUACCCUUUUACAGUCUGCAUUGUUCCAUGUUUCCAUUCAUUACAUCAUUCCUUCAACUCUGCUAUAUAUUAUCACCGUCUCCAGAGAACCAAACCUUUUACUGCUAACUUGUAAAAAAAUUAUGAAAAUACAACAGAGAUUAUUGAGACAUUGUUGAAGUUGGCUUGCAUGCAGUAGACAUUGUUAAUCUUAUUAUUAUUAUUAUUAUUAUUAACUCAUGAACCCAUGGUUACACUUCCAACAGAGGUGAGAGAGGUUAAGAGUAGCCAUGAGCCAUCUAGUCAUGCUCCUGUUGUUGAGGAUGCCUCUGAAACUGCACAAGCUCUCAGCCCGAAUUCAAAUCUAAAAUCUCAUUUGUUAUAAAUUCUGAUAAAUUUAUUUGGGAAUUGCUAUUUUUCAUUCGUUAAUUAUUUCUCUUUUAAUCGAGUAAAAAAUUAAAACUAAAAAGACAUGAUAAUUUACUUGGCAUUUUUUAACUUUACAAACAAAUAGUCAUUUUAGCUUUCCAUUUUUUUUUUCUCUUUUAGCCUUGAAACUUAUAUGGUUCCUUAAAUCACUCCAAAAAAAAUGAUGAAAAAGACUAACAAAUUCUAGCACCUACGUGGCUGAUGUUGACCCUAGUAGUUAAUGGCAACACCUACGUAGUGGUUAACAGAUACCACACCAACACUGUUUGUUGACGUGACAAUGCCAAAUGGUCAAUAAUCGCUGACAUGGUAGCGCCACGCCAUCGCCCAUUGAUGACAUGUUAACCUUUGAGUUAAACUCAAAUUACUCUUUCCUUUGUUAUAAAUUAAGAGUAUAAAUAAUUCUGAUAAGAAUAGUUACUUUUCAUUAACUCAGUUUAAAGGACUAUAACACGUAAAGUUUGGUCUAUUGCAGAAUUCACAUGCCAUGCGGGACGUUUACAUUAUGCAGAAUUCAACACAUAUAUGGGAAUUUUUGUAUUUCCACAAUCAUCAAAUAAUUUUCAUAAAUUGAUUACUUUCUUUUUACCAUAUAAUUUUCAUUCAUAAAUUGAUUACUUUUUUUUUACAAAAGAAGUAAAAUAAUUAAUAUUCGUGAGAUUACAAAGUCUUCUUCCUUAUACACGUCAAGUUUGGUCUCAAAUAAUUUUCCACACAAAAGAAUACUUUUAACAAUCAAUUGUCUAUUGACUAUACUUUGAACUCCACAAAAAAGACUAAGACCUUCAAUUGUCUAUUGACUACACUUUAACUCGACAAAAAAAGACUAAGACUAUCAAUUGUCUAUUGACUAUCAAUUGGUUCCAUGACAAGUCUAAAUAUAUGAGCCACAAGAGGUUCCCCAAUGAUCUCGAAAUUGAUCCCCGUAAAUUGGAAUUAGAGAGAGACAAAUAUUUCAAGACAUGCAGGUUGUCAAUCAAAUCAAUCAAUUUCGUAAAGGAGGACAUCCAUGACAGAUCCAAAUGUUCAAAAUUACUGCUCUGAUUGAACUUCAGAAGAUCAAGACUAAGGAUUCGGUUGUAUCCUAAGUUGAGCAAAUUGAGGUUUGGCGAAUGAAGAAUGUUUCUUGAGAACUUUCCUUGCAAAUCACAACCACCAAGACUGAGAGACUUUAUAGAAGAGGAUAGAUUCAUGAAAACAUUAGGAUUAAUAGAAGGCAUGAUAAUUCUAACAAGAAAAAGAUGUGUCACCUCAGUUAGGUUGUGAACAAGUCCCUCCAAAGAAUUUUAUCAAGAGUUAAUUGGUGAGAAAAAACAUUAUGAGAGAGAUCAAGUGAAACCAAAUUUGACGAGUGGGAGAUUUGGGAUGGGACUUUUCCUGUAAAUAACGUUUUUUAGAUGUUAAGAUACACCAGCCUUGUAAACCGACCGAACUAGGAUGGAAUUUUGGAAAGAUUAAAAUCAUUGUAGGCAAGGUUGAGUUUUUGAAGGUGAGGAAGGAGGAAGAGAGUGGUAUUGGAAGGGAAGUUGCCAUAUAGCCAACUGCAGCUCAAGUCAAGGGCAAUAACAUGAGCAUUAAGGUGAUGACAAGUGACCCCAUACCAUGAGCAGCAAUCUGUACCCUCCUUCCAUGAAUUUGUCUUGGGAUAAGAUUUAAGGCCGUCAAAAUCAUCGCAAUACAAAGCAGCAUGGUCUGUCUGAGUGAUCGAAAAUGAAUUCUUGAACUGGAUUAGAGAAGCAGCUUCGUGGUGAGAGCAGGAGUGAGAUCCUGAAGAAGAAGAAGCAUAAAGAUGGGGAAAGAAGAGGAAUAGGCAGAGAGAGAGAUAGGGGCCAUGUUAUGUUUGUAGAGGAAGAUGAAGGAUAGGAAUGGUAUUUAUAGGCAACAAAUAGAAUCCAAUAUUAAACAAAAGCUUUGAUGAUUAAUACCACAACACCACUGUUACAGUGUUGUUUCUUUUAUGGUAUAAAGAUUGUUAUUGGAAGAGUUUGAAAUGCUGACAUUGAAAACCUAUAUUUUUCAAUACUCAUCAACAACCACUUCCUUUUUACCAUAUCUUUUUCAUUCCCAAAAUUGGAUACAUUGUUUUACCAAAAUUUUGUAUUUCAUUUGAACUCCCUAAACAACUGAGAAAAUUAACAUUGAUGAGAUUACAAAAUAGAUUGACUUAGUCUUCUUCCUUAUAAUACGUAAAAAAAAAUGUGAGUGUCUAUUCACUUAUAAUAUUUCCAUGCUAGAGGUAGUUUUUGGAAAAUCUUUAAUUAAACCUUAAUUUCAUUUUGUUAAAAUUUUUAACUGGAUUAUCGAAUUGGCUUCUGAUUGUAGGUUGAUCAAUGAUGGGCUGAUUUCUUCUUCUUCUUUUUUAAUUUUUUUAGGGUUUAUAAUAUACUGCUUAAUGUUGUUGAUUUAUUUUUCUGAUCAUCGUUUCAUUCGUUUGUUGAAGAUAACUGAAUUUUUAUUGGUUGUAAUUGGACUUGGGUUUUAGCCAAUGACUAUAAUCAAAGGGUUAAUUUAAGGUUCGAAUGAAUUAUUUGAAAAUUUUAUUAUUUUUCUUUUCAAUUAGUUGUUUUACAAGGAUUUAACUUAUAUUAGUCAAAUGAACUGGGUUUAAAAAAUGAACAAGAACGAAGAAAUUGGAUGGUUGACUGGACACUGGAAAGGGGAAAAGCUAAAAGUUGUAAAUGUUUUGAAUAUAGAGUUGUAUUCUUUUCAUGGCUUCAGAAAAAUGUAUGCAAUGUUUGGCCAGCGAUAAUGGACAAGUUUUUUUAAACCUCCAUGCCUAAGUCAUGCUUUCAUAAACAUGGGCAGCUAACACCGAGAAGUCAGUAAGCGAUUUAAAAGUGAAGCUCAUAUGCGUCAUUGCUACUCGCUUUGCAGCUAAACUCCUGAGUGACCGGGGAUGGUUGAUUUGAGGUUUAAUUCUAGCUAGUAGAUUCUUAGGUUUGUUAAGGGUCUUUUUGGAGACAAAUGUCUGAGAUUGCUGGAAAAUGCUUCUUACCAUCAUAUUAAUGUCUAUUCGGGUUGCGUUUUCUUAGAGUUUUGGAUUCUUUGCAUCUUAUCAUAAAAUUGAGUUAGAUAUAACAUGUCAUUGUUAUCUGUUAAUUGUUUCACUUGGGACCAGGAGCAUGGUGGCAACUCAAUACAGCUGUAAAUGCAUAUUUCAGCGAGGGUGAUAGGUAUAUAUUUAUGAAUUAUGCUAAUAUUUUGUUAUGAUAAGUAAUUCUAGGUUUAUAGCUUUAUUGGUUUGUUUGUUUUCUCAUGUUUCCUACAAAAAUAAGGCCAACAUCAACCAUAGUUUCUGUAGAUUAUGCCAUGGAUAUAAAUGAUCCAAAUGAAGUUGUACCAAAUGGGCCAGUCCCUUCCAUUUCUACCAUCAUCUAGAACAAACGAACAAUCGUCUCUUCAUCAUCGAAACUUCCAUAGCAGUUUCUUCGAUGGUGAUUCUGGUUCAACUUAUGAACCAAUUGAUACAUAUCCAACAGAGGUGAGAGGGGUUAAGUAUAGCCAUGAGCCAUCUAGUCAUGCUCCUGUUGUUGAGGAUGCCUCUGAAACUGCACAAGCUCUCGGCCCGAAUUCCCAUGAGACUGUUACAAUUGGUGAAGUAGGUGACGAUUCAAUUGCGCAGCCAAGGUGGCAGAAUGAUAACUGUAACAACCAGCAUGUUACACCCAGCGCUCCUGCCUUUGAUAAUUUGCUAGACUAUGGCGAUGACAUUGAAGAACAAAUGAUUCAAGCUGCCAUUGAGGCCUCUAAGCGGGAUGCUGAGGCAAGUUUUAAAAAAAGGACGCUUCCAAUUUGAUAGUGUUGUGGUGCCCUUCAUUCUUGUAGUUGCUGUAAAUGCUUGUUUUACAGAUUGCCUUUUUCAUGUUUAAAGUGUUAAAGUGUUGCAAAUUGAAGUGUUUUAAGUAAUGCAAAUUGAAUUGUUUAGUUGCUGGAAAUUGAGAUGUUUUAUGGCCGUAAUUGAGUGUAUAAAUGUUGUAAAUUGAAGUGUUUUAUUGCUGGAAAUUGGAUGCAUGGUAUAAUGACAUGAUAGAAUGUCAUUACAAUGUUGUAACUUUUUGAUGUUGUAAAAUCAUAUGGAUUAUGACAUCUAAACUAAUGAAAUCGUGUAACUUUUUAUUAAUAUAUGAAUAUUAUGUUGGGAUGUGAAAUAUAAUUCUCAAGUUAUUUAUUACUUCUAAUAUCUAAUAUUUCAUUGUAGAAUAAUUAAAAUUAUUUGUUUCACUAAUGAUAUUUUAGCACAUUCAAUAUCUAUUGCAGUUUAAAAAUAAUAAUUUAGAUUAUAUAUUAUUUUUAUAGUAUUAUAUAUUAUGAUUUUAGUAAAUUCAUAUAAUAGUAAUUAUAUUAAGAAUUUUAUUAAAUUAUAUUUAAUAAUAAUUAUGUUAAAAUAUGGUUAAAUUAUUUAUUAUCUUUAUUAAAUUAUUUUUAAUAAUAAUCUUUUUAAAAUUUAAUAACAAUAACAAAAAUCAUCUACUUAAAAAAGAUUCUGCUAAGGGUAUUCUAGUCAUUUUAGUUUUUUCCUUAUGCAAUUACAACAUCAUUCCAUUCAACCAAACACAAGAAUACCAUUACAGUUCUAUUCCGUUCCAUUCAACCAAACAAUUGAAUUACUGAUUACAGCUCUAUUCCAUUACAGUGAACCAAAUAUAUCCUUAGUAUGAAUGGCUGUCGAGGCAUGUAGAAAUUUGCACACAAAAGAACAAAAUUGUGCACUACUUAAAACUUCAAAGCAUGUGUGGCCUUAAUUUAAUUUUUCAUCUUUUUUAGCCCUUAAACCUACAUUGUUUAUCAGAUGAAAAAAUUAAUAUCUAUUAACUUUGCUAAUGUGCAAGCAUAUGCAACUUCUUUUAAAUCUAAAAAAUAUAAAAAUAAUUAAAUAUGUAUAAAUCUAAAGAUAUCUUAAACUUAAAACUAAAAUUUUUUAAACUAAUGCAAAUUUUUAUUAUUUAAAAAAUCUUAAAAUUUUCAAAUUAAAUUCCAUUUGUUUUCCACCGUUGAAGAACACCUUUAAUCACAACUUCAUGCUGUAUUGCCUAGAAAUUGUUUUGCAAAUUUAUUUUGUUUUAUUUAUUUCUAAACCCAUAUUUCUUUUCUAUAACUCCAAUUAUUAGAUUGUUUAGGGUUUUGAGUAACUUUCGAUUUUGGAAUUUUAGAUUUUUUAAAUUUAAAUAUGAAGUGCUCUUCUUCUUCUCCAAACCCACAAAUUUUUCUGCCAAAUUUCUACUCAAGGUUUUACUUUCAGCUAUAAAUAAAGCGUAUAUUAUAUUUAUAAUGAUCUAAGAAUAGUAGAGUCGAUGCCGAUCUACAUGAAAAAGGAUGAAAAAAAAAGGCAAAGAAUGAUAAUAUGAAGAGAGCAUAAAUCAAUAAAGCAAAUGAAAAACGAGCAGGAUUAAAGUAAAUGGGUAUUUAAUAUUUUUUUGUGAAAGUUCAAAGACUGAUUAUUUAUAAAAUUGGAUGUGGAAAAAUUAGUUGGAAUUUUUUUUCUUACACCAAUUGAUUUUUUAUAUAAAAUUUUUAUUUAUUUUUAAGUGUUGAAACCACUUUUUGAAAACAAAAAAAAAGUGUUACUUUUAUUUUGAAAACGGAAACGAAAAAAUGGGAGUCGCCACCGAUAUUUUUUUUGAGGUGUGAUCGGAUCACCUUAAAACAAUUUUGGUCUACGAAUAAAAAAAUGGGUCCGGGAGUCAAUUACGUAGGAGGAAGGAUUAGCACCCUCAUAACGCCCAAAAUUGAUACCGAAUUGCAUAAUUAAUGUCUUAAAGUCGAAUGUCGAAAAUUCAAAAAGAUUAAAAAUGAUCCCCUUUAAUUAAUGACAUAUUUUUAAACAAUAUUUGUAUAAAUUUGAUCAUAUGUAGAAAGGUCUUCUCAUCCUGAGUCAACAAAAUGUCGUAUCCCAUAAGUUAGGAUGCGACAUUUAGAUUUCCGAGCAUAAUCUAGCCUUUAAAACCCUUUAUUGAAACUUUAUGUAUUUGAAAACUAAAAAUGUUUGACCAUCUUGGUUCAAUGAGGAAAUCGAAAACCCGUAAGUUAGGACAAAUUUCCUCAAAGUUCCAAAGACGAUAUAUACGUUUGCCUUUAUUUAAAAAAAAAAGAUACUCGGUUACUUAAAUUCAACGAGGAAAAUUGGAGCCUAAUAAGUUAGGGCACAAUCUUCUCGAAAAUAUUGGAUACCGGGUAUUACGUUAUUUUGAAAACUUUGAAUAAAAUGAUUUCAAUACUUUGACUAAACGCAACAUUUUAAAUGAAUAAAAUGCGAUGGAACAAUAACGUAUAACGCGAAGUGAUAAUUCGUAAACUAAAAUAUACGCUAAUGAUCGACAAAGAAUCAAUGAAUACGAGUAAGCAAUACAAUACAUCAUAUAAGAGCAACAAUCUCAUAUCCCACAUUAUGCAAAUACUAACAUCCAUUUUAGCAAGCUAAAUGAAUUAAAAGUUAAUUAAAGAACAGCAAGCAAAUUAAUGUAAAUCUAAUAUAACAAGCUUUAAAAUAAAAUAAAAAUAAAAAUCAUGAAAAAGAGGAAAAUUCAAACACUAAAUUGUAUGUAUAAAAUAUUUGGCACAAAUAAUAUAUAGGAAAACUUGCAAUAAAAAAAUGAAGAAAAUAAAGAAUAAAUAAGAUGCAAAAUAAUACAUGUUCAUCUAAAUAAGUAGUACAUAUAAAAUAAAAUUUUAAUAUAAAUGUUGAAAUAAACAAAGCGUGUAAUUGAACAUCAUUUCCACUAACUAGAUCCUUCUUCGUCAACUGCUGCGAUUGCCUUUCUUUGACUUUCUUUUUCGCCUCUUCUCAUGUUGGUUUUCAACCAAAUUCACCAACCAUUUCGGUUUUCCAGUUUGGAAAACAACAUAUCCCACCAACAUUCCGAACACUACUCCGCAUCCAUAACCUAUCAACACCACUUUCCAACCAAAAGUAAUGUUUGAUUUUGAGCCAUCUUUUUCAAGCACAUCUGGAGGUGUUGGCGCAAUGAUGUUGCAACCUUUCGAGACCGGAAACCCACAUAUGAAUCAUUUCCAAAUGUGUUGAAUUGUUUGCCUUGAGGAAUCUGACCAUGGAGUUGAUUUUCAGAAACAUUUAAGGACAAAAGAAAUGGCAGAUCUACCAAUCUAUUUGGAAUGGUUCCAGACAACCUGUUUGAAGAUAGUGUUGGCACAUAAUUAAAUUAACCUUGCACAAAUAAAUUAUGAAAAGUUAGAAGAGUGAAGAGACUUGAAUAUGAAAAGUGAAAAAACUUGAAUAUGAAUAGUGAAGAGACUUGAAGAUGAAAAGUUAAGAGGCUUGAAUAUGAAAAGAUACACACAUGCAUGAAUAGUCACAACUCCUAGCAUAUAGUGAUAUAGAUGAAUAGUCACUUACAACUCCUAUAUAAAGAGUUGUAUGUGAUGAAGAAUUAUUAACUUUGUGUGCUUGAAAUAAAAGAUUAUUUGAAAGAAUUUUUUCAUACAAAAUUUAUUUCUCUUCUCCAUUAUAUUCUUUAUCAUUUUCUUUGUUUUAUUUCUCCAAAUAUUAAUCAUUCAACUACAAAUUGGUAUCAAAGCCUUGUUCAAUCGAAAUGAACAAUUCUAUUCCUCUUUCUUCCGUUCCCCAAUUAACCAAAGAAAAUUAUGGCAAAUGGAGUAUCCAAAUGAAGGCUCUUCUUGGAUCUCUAGAAGUUUGGGAGAUUGUUGAAAAAGGUUAUAAUGAAGUUGAGGGUGAAGAGGAGGAAGGAUUAACACAAGUUCAAAAAGAGAGUCUAAGAAAAUCAAGGAAGAAAAAUCAGCAAGCCUUAUUUUGGAUAUAUCAAGGAGUUCAAUCAUAUGAAGCGGCUUGGGAAAAAAUAGCUUGUGCCACCACGGCAAAACAAGCAUGGGAAUUUUUACAAAAUUCAUUCAAAGGAGAUGAAAAGGUGAAAAGAGUUCGGUUGCAAACUCUUUGAGGAGAGUUUGAAAGAUUGCAAAAAAUAGAGUCAGAAUCAGUUUCUGAUUACUGUUCACGGGUUUUGUCCAUAGUCAAUCAAUUAAAAAGAAAUGGUGAAACUAUGGAUGAUAUUCGUGGUGUUGAGAAAAUCCUCCGUUCUUUAGAUUCCAAAUUUGACUACAUUGUGGUUGCCAUAGAAGAAUCAAAGGACUUGAGUACCAUGACUAUUGAUGAACUCACAGGUUCGUUGCAAGCCCAUGAAGAAAGAUUAAACAAGAAGAAAAAGGAAGUAGAUCUAGAUCAAGCACUUCAGUCAAAGUUGUCUCUAAAUGAGAAUAAGGGAGAUUUUAAAAAUCAAAGAGGGAGAGAUCGUGGUCGUGGAAGAGGAAGAAAUUUUAGAGGAAGAGGCUCAAAUGCUCGUGAAAGAGGUGAAGAUGUAAGCAUGGAGAAUGGAUGGAAAGAAGCCAACCAAAGUCAAAAUUUUAGAGGAUCACAAAGAGGACGUGGACGUAGAAAUCAAAGAGGAAGAGGUCGUGGCUAUUUUGAAUGUUAUAAUUGUCGCAAACCUGGUCAUUUGGCAAGUGAAUGCUGGUACAAAGAAGAAGAGAAAAAUGAAGCUAAUAUAGUACAAAAUAAUCAAGAGCAAAAGCAAGAAACUUUGUUGCUCGUAUCUCAUGGUGGAGAGAUUGAUGAUGUCUGGUACAUAGACAGUGGUGCUAGCAAGCAUAUGACAGGUAACAAAAAUUUAUUUUCGAAGUUCUUUGAAUCUGAUUGUGGAGAAGUAAAAGUAGGAGAUGGCAAAGCUUACAAAGUUAGCGGUGUUGGUGAGUUGGAGUUCAAAACAAAGCAAGGAAGGGUAGAGAAAAUGUCUGAAGUUUAUUUUGUUCCUGGUCUUAAAAAUAAUCUGCUUAGCGUUGGGCAUCUCUUGAAGAAGGGGUAUGAUAUUCAUUUCCGAGACAUGGCUUGCUAUUUAUCAAAGAAAAAUCAGGUUGUUGCUAGAGUUGGAGUGGCAUCAAAUAAUCUUUUCUCUCUUACCCUUCAAAAUCAGAAUAUGUCUUGUUUUAUUGGUGCUCAUAAAGGAAUUUCAAAGUUAUGGCAUGAUAGAUAUGGACAUUUAAACUAUGGAAAUUUGGAGAUGCUUUCAAGGAAGAUGAUGGUUAGAGGUUUACCAAAAAUCGAUCGGCUUGAUGAUGUUUGUGAAGCAUGUCAACUUGGAAAGCAACAUAAAAUUGCUUUUCCUUCUCAAUCCUCGUGGAAAGCAAGAAGACCAUUGCAACUUAUUCACUCAAAUCUUUGUGGUCCAAUGACAGUUUCAUCUUUAGGAGGUAAUCGUUACUUUAUCUCUUUCAUUGAUGAUUACUCAAGAAAGUUAUGGGUGUAUUGUGUCAAAGAAAAAUCAGAGGCUUUUCAGAGAUUCAAAGAUUUCAAGGCAGAAGUGGAGAACUUUACUGGGUUGAAAAUUAACACCUUGCGUACAGAUCGUGGAGGUGAAUAUUUUUCAAAAGAAUUUGAGAAAUAUUGCCGAGAUAGUGGCAUCCGGCAUGAAAUGACAGUCCGCCAUACACCUCAGCAAAAUGGUGUGUGUGAAAGAAAGAACAGAACAAUUAUGGAAAUGGCUAGAUGUCUUCUUAAUAAGAAGAGGUUAUCAAGAAGAUUUUGGGCUGAAGUUGUUUCCUGUGCAGUUUAUCUUAUAAACAGAUCACCGACAAGAAGCUUGGAGAAUUACACACCACAUGAGGCGUGGUAUGGUAUAAAGCCUAGUGUUAGUCAUCUUAGAGUAUUUGGGAGUGUUGCCUACUCUCUAUUCCAGAUGCAAUGAGAAGCAAGUUGGAUGACAAGUCAGAGAAAUGCAUUUUUAUUGGCUAUAGUGAAAGAAGUAAGGCAUACAAGUUGUAUAAUCCGGUGACAAAGAAGAUUGUGAUAAGCCGAGAUGUUCGGUUUGAUGAAAAUUCCAUGUUUGAAGAUAUGGAAGUUGAAAAGGAAAAUUUGCCAAUUUUUCCUUUUGAACUUGAAGAAGAAGAAGAGGCAGUAAUUGAGAAUGCUGAAGAUGAUGCUCAAGUAGAAAAUCCUCCUGCUUCCCCAUGUUCUUCAUCAAAUUCUUCUUCAUCCAGCCCGAUCCGAAAAACGAGAAGCAUCCAAGAGUUAUAUGAUGUAACGGAUGAAGUUGUGCAAAAUGAUGCUGUAUUCUUUGCCUUCUUUGCAGGAGAAGAUCCAAUUUCUUUUGAUGAUGCAUAUCAAGAAGAAAUAUGGAGGAAAGCCAUGAAAUAAGAGAUUUUCUCAAUUGAAAACAAUGAUACAUGGGAACUCACAGAUUUACCGCCGCACAAGAAUUCAAUUGGAGUCAAAUGGGUGUACAAGACAAAGAUGAAUCCGAAUGGCUCUAUCAACAAGUACAAGGCAAGACUGGUUGCAAAAGGAUACAAGCAAAAGGAAGGAGAAGAUUUUACAGAGGUAUUUGCUCCAGUUUCAAGACUUGAGACAGUUCGGUUACUUAUUUCUCUUGCUGCCCAAAAUAAUUGGAAAAUAUUCCAAAUGGACGUAAAAUCUGCGUUUUUGAAUGGUGUUCUCAAAGAAGAAGUCUAUGUUGAUCAACCACCAGGGUUUGUCAAAAAAGGAGAAGAAGAAAAAGUUUACAAGUUGAAGAAAGCUUUGUACGGGUUGAAGCAAUCACCCAGAGCAUGGUACAGCCGCAUCGAUUCUUAUUUUCAGAAGUGUGGAUUCCAGAAAUCUCCAUAUGAGCAUACUCUCUACAUCAAAGGCAAUUAUCAAGGAAGAUUCAUGGUUGUAAGUCUCUACGUUGAUGAUCUUAUUUUCACAGGAAAUGAUGUGAAGAUGUUGAAAGAAUUUCAGCACUCAAUGAUGGCAGAAUUUAAGAUGACAGAUUUGGGAGAACUUCAUCAUUUUCUUGGCAUUGAAGUUCAUCAAUCCGAGAAAGGAAUUUUUAUUUCACAAGAGAGCUACGCAAAGGAAGUUCUAAAAAAAUUCAUGAUGGAAAAUGCGAAUCCAGUCUCUACUCCAUGCAUUACAGGUCUGAAGUUAUCUAAAGAGGGUGAAGGAAAGCUUGUCAAUUCCACCAUAUUCAGAAGUUUGGUUGGGAAGUUGAUGUAUCUGACUUCGACAAGGCCUGAUAUCGUGUAUGUUGUUAGCUUGGUAAGUAGAUUCAUGGAGAAACCUUACUCCAAUCACUGGGAGGCUGCCAAGAGAAUAUUGAGAUAUGUGAAGGGAACCAUUGAUUAUGGAAUUUUCUAUAAAUCUAAUACAUUAGUUGAUCUCAUUGGUUAUACGGAUAGUGAUUUAGCAGGAAGCAUUGAUGAUAGCAGAAGCACUUCUGGUUAUGUUUUUCACCUUGGUAGUGGUGCAGUUUCAUGGAGUUCAAAGAAACAAUCAAUUGUGGCGCUUUCGACUAUAGAAGCUGAAUAUAUCGCUGCAUCUUAUGCAGGAUGUCAAUUGAUUUGGUUACGUGGAAUUUUGGAAAGUCUUAAGCAGAAGCAAAGCAAGUCAACAAUUUUGUUUUGUGACAAUAGUUCUACUAUUUCGGUCACAAAAGAUCCAAUUCUUCAUAGAAGGACAAAACACAUUCGCAUUCGAUAUCACUUCUUGAGAGAACUAGUGAAUAAUGGUGAUGUUCAAGUUGAAUAUUGCAAGACGGAAGAUCAGAUGGCUGAUAUCUUCACAAAGCCUCUAAGUGGACAAGUCUUCAAGAAAAAUGUUGAAAGGUUGGGAGUUCAAAGCAAGUUUAAUUUAAGGGAGGCAUUGUUGGCACAUAAUUAAAUUAACCUUGCACAAAUAAAUUAUGAAAAGUUAGAAGAGUGAAGAGACUUGAAUAUGAAAAGUGAAAAAACUUGAAUAUGAAUAGUGAAGAGACUUGAAGAUGAAAAGUUAAGAGGCUUGAAUAUGAAAAGAUACACACAUGCAUGAAUAGUCACAACUCCUAGCAUAUAGUGAUAUAGAUGAAUAGUCACUUACAACUCUUAUAUAAAGAGUUAUAUGUGAUGAAGAAUUAUUAACUUUGUGUGCUUGAAAUAAAAGAUUAUUUGAAAGAAUUUUUUCAUACAAAAUUUAUUUCUCUUCUCCAUUAUAUUCUUUAUCAUUUUCUUUGUUUUAUUUCUCCAAAUAUUAAUCAUUCAACUACAGAUAGGUCCAACCAUUCAAGACUUGUCAAAUCCCCUACUGAGGUAGGGAUACCACUAUUAAGGUUAUUAUGAGAAAGGUUGAGCCCUUUCAGUAAGUUAAGCUUCCCAAUAACCUUUGGAAUCUCCCCUUCAAACUGAUUGCUUGAUAGAUCAAUGAUCACCCACAUAGUGAAAAUUUUCACCAAUUCCACGUCUUGUCCUUUCAUAACAAUUCCAAUGGAAUAGGCAUAGAAGUCAUCUCCAUCAUUCACCCCCAUGUACGACACUGUACUACUAACCUUCUCUAGAUUUAUGAUAGCCUUGAAGCUGUUGAUGUAUCUCACUAGUAGGGGUCCAGAAAAAUAAUUACUUGAGAGGUCAAAAAUUUGGAUUUUAGAGAAAAAAGGGCUAGACUUGGAGUUAUUGACACACAGGGAACCAUGCAUUUGAUUUGACUUUAGUACAAGAACUUGUAGCUGUGGAAGACUUCCCAACCAAUGAGGAAAUGUAUCAUUGAUCUUGUUGUUACCAAGAUCUAGUACUUCCAGACCUCUACAAUUAAGGAUGGAUGGUGUCAAAGGCCCUCCUAACAGAUUUCCAUUUAAAUUGAAAUUACUCAAUUGGCAUCCCAUUGCAAAUGUUGGAGGAAUCGUCCCAUAGAACUUGUUCUUCUUCAGAUUCAAGAAUUGAAGGCUGUUGCUCAAAUUUCCAAAACACUGCGGAAUUGUUCCACUCAAGUAAUUGUGGGACAAAUCAAGAAUUUGAAGAUAAGUGGCAUUGCAUAUUAAUGAAGAGACCUCUCCAUUGAAACAAUUAUUUGAGAUCAAAAAGACAGUGAUGGUCGAAGCUGGAAUCGGAAGAUUUCCACUGAUCAAAUUGGAGCUUAAGUCAAGAACAUCAAUAUUCUUCCAUGGAAAGUGCUCAGCUUCUGUCAAAGAGUUGUGAAAUACAUUUAAGUAAGUCAAAGAGCCAUUCCCCACCUCUUGCAUCCACUAUGGAAUCUUGCCUUUAAUUUUGUUGCAAGAGAGGUCUAAGCUUUCCAAACUUUUAAGCCCUUUUAAAAAUUGGGGGAAUUCACUAAGAUUGCAAGAUGACAAAAAUAACCAUUCAAGAUUUCCACUGAUCAAAUUGGAGCUUAAGUCAAGAACAUCAAUAUUAUGACGAUAUAUAAGUUUCCCUUUAUUUUUUAAAAAAAAACCUCGUCUCGAGAUAUCGAAAGGUCAUAUCCAAUGAGUUAGGACACAACGUUUUGAAUUCCCGAGAUAAGCUUUAAUUUGAAAUUUUUAUAUUUUAAUUAAAAAAUGAUACUCAGUUACUUAAAUUCAACGAGGAAAAUUGGAGCCCAGUAAGUUAGGGCACAUUCUUCUCGAAAAUCUUGGAUACCGGGUAUUACGUUAUUUUGAAAACCUUUGAAUAAAACGAUUUCUAUACUUUGAUUAAAUGCAACCUUUUAAACGAAUAAAAUGCGAUGGAACAAUAACAUACAACCCGAAGUGAUAAUUCGUAAACUAAAAUAUAUGCUAAUGAUUGACAAGGAAUCAAUGAAUACGAGUAAGCAAUACAAUACAUCAUAUAAGAGCAACAAUCUCAUAUCCCACAUUAUGCAAAUACUAACGUCCAUAUUAGCAAGCUAAAUGAAUUAAAAGUUAAUUAAAGAACAGCAAGCAAAUUAAUGUAAAUCUAAUAUAACAAGCUUUAAAAUAAAAUAAAAAUAAAAAUCAUGAAAGAGAGGAAAGUGCUAAGGGAUAAGAUUGAAGGCCCGUAAUAUGAUCGCAAGACAAAGAAGCACGCUCUGUUAUGGAAAAAGAGUUCUUGAACUGGAUUAAUGAAGAGCAGGAGUGAGAUCCUGAAGAAGAAAAAGAAGCAUAAAGAUGGGGAAAAAAGAGGAAUAGGGAGAGAAAGAGAUAGGAGGCCAUGUUAUGUUUGUAGAGGAAGAAGGAUAGGAAUGGUAUUUAUAGGCAACAAAUAAUACCACAACAUUGGUGUUACAGUCUUUUUUUUCUUUUACAUUGAAAUGCUACAGAUAUUAGAUUUUCAAAAUAUUUGUAUUUUUCACAAUCAUCAACACUUAGUCGUCAUUUUACCAUAUAUUUUUCAUUCUUUUUUUUUUUAACAAAAUCUUGUAUAUCAUUUGGACUCGCUAAACAACUAAAAAAAUAAAGAUUGAUGAGAUUACAAAGUAGAUUGACUUAGUCUUCUUCCCUAUAACAUGUAAAGAAUGUAUGUGUCUAUUCAAUUGCCUGUCAACCAAAGCUUAUUAAUGUGGAAAUUCUUUUCCACACAAAAGAACAAAAUUGUGCUCUAUUCAGCUACGUUUGAGGAAGGAGACGGCUGGAAAUUUAAUCCACCGAUUCCAUAAAAACGUGUAUAUUUAUUUAUAAAUAUAUAUAUAACCUCAUGAUUCAAAUCUAAAAUCUCAUUUGUUAUAAAUUCUUAUAAAUUUAUUUGGGAAUAGUUAUUUUUCAUUCGUUAAUUAUUUCUCUUUUAGCCGUGAAACUUAUAUGGUUCGUUAAAUCGCCCCAAAAAAUGAUAAAAAAGAUUAACAAAACUAGCCCCUACGUGGCUGAUGUUGACCCUUAGUAGUUAAUGGCAACUCCUAUGUAAUUGUUAACAGAUACCACAGCAACAAUGUUUGUUGACGUGACAAUGCCACAUGACCAAUAAUCGUUGUCAUGGUAGUGCCACGCCGUCACCCAUUGAUGACAUAUUAACCUUCGAGUUAAACUCAAAUUGCUCUUUCCUUUGUUAUAAAUUAAGAGUAUAACUAAUUUUGAUAAGAAUAGUUACUUUUCAUUAACUCAGUUUAAAGGACUAUAACACGUAAAGUUUGGUCUAUUGCAGAAUUCACAUGCAAUGCGGGAUAUUUACAUUUUGAAGAAUUCAACACAUAUAUGGGAAUUUUUGUAUUUCCACAAUCAUAAUUUUGUUAGUGAUCAACAACUACUUCCUCCUUACCAUAUAUUUUUCAUUCAUAAAAUUGAUUACUUUUUUUAUCAAAGAAGUAAAAUAAUUAACAUUCUUAAGAUUACAAAGUCUUCUUCCUUAUAACACGUAAAGUUUAGUUCCAAAUAAUUUUCCACAAAAAAAAGACCAUCAAUUGUCGAUUGACUAUACUUUAACUCCAAAAAAAAGACUAAGACUAUCAAUUGUCUAUUGACUACACUUUAACUCGACAAAAAAGGACUAAGACUAAGACUUUCAAUUGUCUAUUGACUUCACACUUGCGGUUGCUUCCUCCUAUCUCUCUCACCCAAACUUAAUUUAGAAGCAAUGGGGAAAUUUUGGACAUUUGGGCCACAAUGAACAAUACUUCCACACCAUUUGCAGUAUUGACUACGUUUACUUGAGGGAAAACAAAGACAUGAAUGCUGGAAAUUUUAACUAGUUUGUACCGUCAAUGAAGCUACGUACCUAAAAGCCUUUUAGGAUAUCAAUUCCUGUAAUUGGAUUAAUCUCAUCGUUGCUGCAAUCUUUUGACAGUGUAAUCGAAUCUUAAAUAUGUUACUCUGCAAUGCUGUUGUAAAAAUUACUCUUAAAAUUGUCGAUAGAUAUAUAGGUUUGGCACAAAAUUAAGAAUACACAAAGGCAGGUUGAAUUAUUCCAUGUUUGAACAUAAAUUCAUAUGGCAAAAGGGCCCAAACCAUACCUUAUGUUCAUGAAUUCUCAUCAUCACAUGUUUAUAAAUGCAUCUCAAAACUUGAAUAAUUGAAUCUUUUGUAAUUCUACAUGUAUUUUUUUUUAUGGUGAGCAGUAUAAUGUUUACUAAAAAUUGAAAUUCAAGAAAGAAGACAUACAUAGUUGCACCAUACAAGUUGUUACACUCGAACUAAACCCUUACAAAUAGUACGAGAUGCAAUGAAAUACAGAGGAAUUGGUACAAUCAUAAAGACAGACACAUACCAAUGCAACUUUUCACCAUAGGAAAAACUUUCUGACAGACUACUAAACAAGAAAUUAUGAAGACACAGCAGAAAUGCUUUGACUUCUUUUGCACCAACUAGAUCCUUCUUCAUCCAUUGAUGCGAUUGCUAUAUUUUGGCUUUCUUCUUCGCCUCUUCUCAUGUUGGUUUUCAACCAAAUUCACAAACCUUUUCACCUUACCGGUUUGGAAAACAACAUAUCCCAUGGCCAUUCCAAACACUACCCCGCAUCCACAACCUAUCAACACCACUAUCCAACCAAAAGCAAUGUUUGCUUUUGAGCCAUCCUUUUCCAGCACAUUUGGAGGUGGUGUCUCAUUGAUGCUGCAACCUUUGGAGACUGGGAAUCCACAUAGUCUCUGUUUCCUUCAUAUGAAUUGUUUCGAAAUGUAUUGACAAUCUGACCAUGGAGUUGAUUUUCAGAAACGUUUAAGAAGAAAAGAAAUGCCGGAUCUGCCAAUAUCUCUGGAAUUAACUCAGUUCAAAUGACCAUAUAACUCGUAAAGUUUGGUCGAAGACUGGCAGCGUCUAUUGACUUCAACUCUUGCUAUUACCUCAAGAAGAAAGACUGCUACAAUUCUAUCUUCUUUAAACCAGCUAUUUAAAAGCAAUAAGGACAUUAAAUCCACCAAUUUAUCUUUGAAGUCAUUCGUCAUGCAGCUCUGCUAUGUACGAUUAUUGGCAAAAAUCUUGAAAGGAGACAACCUCAAAUUUGAAGACAAGAAAUGAGCAAGAACAUGCACCAACGAAGAAUCGAUUAUUGUUUUGUAUUUGGUAAAUACAAUUUGAGUUAAAUAAUCAAGAAUGAUAGUGAAUAAAUAAGGAAAAACAAUGUAGAUUCAGAACCACAAUAAAUCAUAUUAAGCUCAUGAGUUUAUAAUAUAUAUCUCUGCAGCUUGAUUGCCUUGUUAGCUAUAAACAUAACCUGUUAAUUCCAUCAUUAAUACCAUUAGAUAUAUUUUGAUGGGGGAGAUUUUUUAGUAGGAAAACAGUUGAAGUCAUUCAAGAAGACAUAAACAGCUGCAACUACGUAAGAGUUUAACUUUGAGAAUAGAUCCUUACACGUUAUUGAAAUGCCAUACUAAAGAUAAAGACAUAUAGCUAAACGUUAGACACACCAUAAAAAUAUAUAUAGGUAAAGUGAUAGGGUGUGAGUAAGGAGGCCAUGCUAUGUUUUCAAAUAAGAUUAUCAUGGUAUGAAUUAUGAGAACCCUAUUUAUAGGAAGAACAAAACCGAUAUGAAACUAAGAAUAUAGUCCAUUGAUAAUGAAGAAUCUAAGAAAUUUAAUGGAAAUUGUGGAUAAGCAUCGUGUUUUUAUCUCUGAUGGAGAAAAGCUAAGAGUGUGAGGAAGACCAACUGUCAAUGUCACCCAAACCGAAUCUACAAGUCACCACAAUGUACAGUAAUUCAAAGCAGGAAAAGUUCAUAGUUUCAGAGUAAAUAACACUUCAAUGAUUGUAUUAUAGAAAACAUGUGUAUCCUAUAUAUGUUGAACAAUAUUAUCUAACAAACAUAUUUUCCAAAAGACUAGAAAAUUUGUGAUUAAAUGCUAAAGUUACAUAUUUUAUGUAAUUAAAUUGGUUAAUUUAUGAGAGUGCACCACUAAUUUUUCCAUGUUUUUGUUGAAUUUUGUGCAGGGGUGCAAUUUGGGGCUAAAUAGAAGAAAAAGGAAACAAUUGGGCUAGAUUGAAGAGAGAAGCAAAGAAGGAGGGCCAAAACAGAAUUUUUCCAGAUUAAUUAGCUGAAAUUUUUGUUGACUUAGUGGGAGAUUAUUUUGGGAUUUUUUUUUAUAUCAUGGAAUAUUUUUCCUUAAUUUUCUAUACUAGUUGGCUUUUAAUUUAGCAAGGCCACUAGUAUAAAUAGAGGCUACAUUGUUCAUUUUAAUCAUCAAGUCUUGAAUCAAUUCAUAAAUCAAGCUUUCAUCUUUCAAUACAUUCUCUCUUUUCUACUCACAAAUUUAUUUGUUGUUUUUAGUUUCAUUUACUUUCAAUCCAUUAAUUUCCAGCUUGUUACCACUUAAACCAUUUUCAAUUUCUUUUUCAAACUUUCUUUCCAUCUCCAGUAGCUAAUUCACUUUAUUACACCCCCAAAAUUCCAGCCCCCCAAACUAAAUCACGCCACCCAUUCCUUUCACCCAUUUUACCUUAUUUAAUUUAUCCAAUACCAACAUGCCCCAAACCUUAGCCAACUAAAUUCAUUUCCAGCUUUAGGUCGGAAUUAGCCUCGUCAAAACCCGUGAGUUACGAACCCGAGCAAAUUAACUCCUAAAUUUUAGUACUUAUUAUUUCUCCGGAUUAAGAGUAUGAUUUUGUCAACUCACAAAGUCAGAUCAACAUUAAGUUAAAAAAGACGUCGUUUGAUUUAGUGUGGUUAGACGUACAGUUGGAAUUCCAAAAAGAUCGAUUCUAAUCGGUUUUCUGUGAACACAUUGGCGUGCCAAUUGGAGAUUGCUGUUUGGUUCCGUCAAGGGAAGUAGUAACCCGAUUUAAAUGUCCCACGCGGUUGAGGGCAUUGGUUCGAGCUAGGGUUUUCUAGAACGCAAAGCUGCCGGAGUUCUAAAUCACGAACAUUUCGUGGUUGUUCGAUCAGUAAGGGUUAGUUAUUGGACGUUCCAUAACUAAUUUACACAAGGAAGAGUUAGUGUCUGAGGCGUCCUUGGUAGCUAUAACUAGCUUAUUGGAAAAGAGGAGUUCAUCUAAUUUUGAGAAUCGGUUCAAAGACGAGGAAAAUUCGUGCCUAAAGCUGAGCUUAUUCUAAUUAAAUUUUCUUCAUAUUUAUUUAACUAUUUUAAUUAUUCUGUUUUCAACUUUAUCUUUUCACGCAUUUUAUUUAUUUAUUUCAGGUCUUCAAAUUUUAUCCCCCCGAACUUCUUGGGCACGACAACUGCCCCAACAUAAAUCUGGUCAAAAUAGAAACAAUUUGCAGUAAACCCAGUCUCUGAGGGAUCGACCCUACUCCCUAUACUGUUUAAAUCGCAAAUUAGGCGUAGGUUUAUAUUGGUGGAUUCGACACCCAUCAAUUUGUAUGUCAUUUUCUAUUACUUGCAAGAAAACUACAGGGGAAAUUGCAUUUCUAAUUCAUCCAUAGGCUUUAAAUUCAAACAAGAAAAAGGAAAAAGAAUAUAUAUAUAUCAACAGGAAACUUCAAGGAGAGAAAUUUUGUUACAUCAAUUUUCCAGUCAUAUUUAAUCUUUACCCAAAGUUGAUUCUAGAUUAAAUUUGGAAAAAAUUAAAAAAGAGGACAUGUAUUUUUUUUUAUUUUUGAAAAGUAAAGGAUUAUAUCUCAGCCAAAUAAAAAAGUCACAAUGCAAAGCCAAGAGCCAAAGCCAAGCCAAGCACACACUCAACUAGCAGACAUAACUCAUACAGGACCUAGAUGUAUUAUUGAACUCUUAUAUAAAAGACAACUGAAGAUGCAAAGCUUAAUUGUUAAGCUUUUCUGAUGCUUGAUAAGCAUAGUUUUAGUUCAGUUCCGAAAUCUAAACUGCUUUGCUAUGGGAUUAUUUUUAUAAGUACAUUGAGAUCAAUGCAUGCUAUUGCGAUUUAUUAUCUUUGAUGCCAAGGAAAUGACAGAAUUCAAAGACCAAAAGGUUCGAUUACAUACUAGAUCAUGGAUGUAAGCCAAUCUACAACCUCUCUCCUCGACCUCCAUGUGAAACCAGCAUGAUUUGAAUUCUCAGCCGCAUAUACCCUCACAAACUCCUCAGCAACAACAUAAAACAUAUACCUAACACUCCUUUGAGAACCGAUAACUGCACAGACAGAUUCACUAAUGGAAGCCUUCAAGAAAUAUUGAACCACACAAUUACCACACUUCUGUGAAAUAAACUUGUUGGUGCAAAGAGACAACAAUAGACUGUUUUCAAUCUUGCUUGUAUAGCAAGCCUCGAGCCUUGCUGAAGAAACAAACUCAAAAGCAAGAACAGAAACACAUGCGAAUGAAAAACAAAAGAAAUUGAGAGAGAGAGUAUUUUGAAUGAAAAGAGCUGAUAUUUCAUUAACAAAUCCAGAAGGCAUAAUGCCAUUACAUAUAAUAGAUAACAACAACAAAAUGAACAAGUCUUUACCUAAUGACAUACCUAACACCACUAAAUUUACAUUGGAAAUUGUUAAUCAGCUUGCUUAAGUUUCUUUGCUGAUUUUUUCAGUCAAUCAAUCAACAAAAAACAUCAUAAGGUUUACCAACUUAGUUCAACAUGAACUAGAUUACAAAAUAAUAAUUAAAAAUACAAUCAAAACAUAACAAGUAGUUAGGCAACUUUAAGCUCCAGUUUCUGCACUUCAUAGCUCGACUGCUUGCUGCCACUUCUCCUUGCAUGGCCACCUUUGCAUGUCUUGCAUGGGAACUAAAUUCAACACUCCUCCUUAGUUUCCAUGCUAGUGACACCUAAUUGCCUUCUUAAUUUAACAAAUUUAGACACAUUGAGUGCCUUUGUAAAGAUAUCAGCAAUUUGCUCUUCUGAAUUGCAAUGAACCAGCUCGAUUUCAUGAGCUUGCUCCAUCUCCCUUAUGACAUGUAGCUUGAUGUUGAAGUACUUUGCUCUACCAUGAAAGAUAGGAUUCUUUGCAAUUGCAACAGCAGAUUUGUUGUCACAGUAAAUCUCUGUUGCCUUUCCUUGAUUUUGAUUUAAAUCAGCUAGGAUUUUUCUAAGCCAUAUGGCUUGAUUUACAGCAGAUGCAGCAGCAACAUAUUCAGCUUCUGCUGUUGACUGUGCUACCAGACUUUGCUUUUUAGAACUCCAGCAAAACAUGCCUGAGCCAAGACUAAAGGCAUAUCCAGAUGUGCUUCUCAUGUCAUCACAAGAUCCAGCCCAGUCACUAUCAACAUAGCCUAUUAGCUUCAUGUUUAUAGCCCUUUUGAACAAUACACCAUGAUCAAUGGUGCCUUUGAUGUAUCUAAGCACUCUUUUAGCUGCUUGAAAGUGCUGAUCAUUGCAGCAAUUCAUGUAUCUGGAUAGCACACUAACAGCAAACAUGAUAUCGGGUCUUGUUGCAGUCAAAUACAACAGACUACCAAUGAGACUUUUGUACAUAGUCUCGCAAAUUGGUUCACCACUCCCUUGCCUCGAAAGCUUCACUCCAACAGCCAUUGGUGUGCUUGUUGGCUUGCAGUUCUUCAUAGAGAACUUAUCCAGGAUCUUCAUAGUAAAAGAACUCUGACUAAGAAAGAUUCCCUUUGCUGUUUGCUUCACUUCCAUUCCAAGGAAGUAGUUCAUUCUGCCUAAAUCAGACAUUUCAAACAUUUCCAUCAUUUUUCUUUUGAAAUCUUCCAGCAUUCUUCUAUCUCCUCCAGUCACCAAUAAAUCAUCAACAUAGAGUGACAGGAUAAGCUGAGUUUCAGCUUGGUUCUUCUUCACAUACAGUGUUGGUUCACUGAGACUUCUCUCGAAUUCCAAACUGAGCAAGUAAGAAUCAAUUCGAGCAUACCAGGCUCAAGGAGCCUGUUUUAGGCCAUACAAAGCCUUUUUCAGUCUGUACACCUUGUGUUCUUUGCCAGUGACCACAAAUCCUUGAGGCUGUUCGAUGUAGAUCUCUUCUUCCAGGAAACCAUUGAGAAAUGCAGACUUAACAUCAAGCUGAUGAAUGGUCCACUGAUGUUGAGCAGCCAAGGCAACUAUCAUUCUAACUGUGUCAAGCCUGGCUACUGGUGCAAAUGUCUCCAGAUAGUCCAGACCAUACCUUUGGCUAAAACCUUUGACAACAAGCCUGGCUUUUAGCUUGUUCAGACUGUCAUCUGCAUUCUGUUUUGCUCGAUAGACCCAUUUUACUCCAAUGGUCUUCUUUCCAGUAGGUUUAUCAACUAGCUCCCAUGUCUGGUUCUUCUCAAUCAUGUUGAUUUCAUCGACCAUAGCUAGUUUCCAGCCUUCAUCUGCCUCAGCCUCUUCAAAACUGCUAGGUUCUGCUAUUGCAACCUGUGCCCUUUCAUAAAUAUCAUCUAGGGGCCUUGUGCCUCUCACAAGCACAUCAUCAACAUCCAUUUCAGGUCCUAGCUGCUCAAGUUCAGCUUGAUUAGGCACCAGGUCUUCUGAAGCAGCUUCUGGUUCAUUCUUUUCCCAAUUCCAACAAGCCUUCUCAUCGAAGAUGACAUCUCUGCUCACUUGAACUAUGUUUGUCAAAGGAUCCAGCACCCUGUAGCCCUUCUUAACUGAGCUAUAGCCUACUAGAACACCUGGUUGAGCCCUUUCAGAGAGCUUGUCUCUCUUAACUGCUGGUAUUUGUGCAUAACACAGGCAACCAAACACCUUCAGAUGUACCAAGGAAGGCUUGAAACCGGACCAAGCCUCGAAAGGUGUUUUGGAUGCAAGAGCUUUGGUAGGAAGCCUAUUUUGAAGGUAGACAGCAGUGUUUACUGCCUCAGCCCACAUGGUCUUGGGCAGUUUCUUCUCAAACAGCAGGCACCUGGCCAUAUCCAUCAAGCUUCUGUUCUUUCUUUCUGAUACCCCAUUCUGCUGAGGUGUGUAGACAUUUGUAAGCUGGUGUUUGAUACCAGCAUCAUUGCAAAUGGCUUGAAACUGAGCUGAAGUGUACUCAGUGCCAUUGUCUGACCUUAUCGAUUUCAGCUUGCAACCUGUUUCUGUCUCUACAGCAAUUUUAAACUUCACAAACACUUGAGCUACCUCAAACUUGUGUUUUAAGAAGAAAAUCCAGCAAAACCUUGUAAAAUCAUCAAUGAAGAGGAUGAAAUACCUAUUUUUCUUGAGUGAUUCAGUCCUCAUCGGGCCACAUACAUCAGAGUGCACCAGCUGUAGUUUUUUAGUAGCUCUCUAAGCUGAAUUUGUAGGAAAUGGCAGUCUUGCCUGUUUCCCCAUCUGGCAAACUUCACACACAUCAUCAUGCUCCACUGAGCUAGUAAAGUUCUCUGCCAAGCCUUCUUUGGCCAUUCGAGCCAAUGAUCUGAAGUUGGCAUGCCCAAGCCUUUGAUGCCAAAGCUUGGAAUCAUCAACAGAGGCUGUAUAUGCAGACUUUGAGUCAUUUGGCCAGUGUACCUCAAAGCAUUUGUUAGUCAUUGUGACUGUCAUAAGGCUUGAUCCACUUGGAUCAGCAAUGUGGCACUGUUUGUUCUUGAACACAACAGAAUAGCCUUUCUUGAGCAAUUGAGCUAUGCUGAGAAGGUUUCUGUCGAUUUCUGGCACUAACAGCACAUUUGGAAUGAUCUUGUUGCCUGUGGGGGUACAUAUCAGCACCUCUCCUCUUCCUUCAGCCCUUAUGAACUGACCAUUUCCAACCUUGACCUUGGUUUUACAACUUCUAUCCAAGGUUUUAAAUAAGGAGGCAUCUGGUGACAUGUGGUUAGUGCAACCACUGUCCAAUAACCAGCCUUUUGAGCAUUUCUUCUCAGCAGCUAAGAAAGAAACAGCAAAGACCUGCUCUUCUUGAUCACUACUGUCCUCAGCUACUCGAGCUUCAACCUUUGGUUGUUGAAAUUGACUCUGCCUUGACUUGGUUUUAUUUUUGCAAACCCUUUCAACAUGGCCUUUCUUCUUGCAGUGUUGGCAUACUGCAUCUGGCCUGAACCAGCAUCUGUCUUCUGGAUGACCUGGCCUCUUGCAAUGUCUGCAGGGCUGGUCAUUGCUCCUUGCAGUAUCAGGCUUAGGCCUGCUUUUCCAAGGCUUUUUACCUCUUGGAGCAUUGAUGCUCGAGGCUUCUCUGGCCUUGGCAUUGAAUGCACCUUCCUGGUGGUCUUCAGCUCUGCUAGCUCUCCUUUGUUCCUGAGCAUAGAAAGUGUUGAUUAGCUCAGUCAAAGAGAUGGUAGCAAGGUCUCUUGAGUCCUCAAGAGAGGAUAUCUUGGCCUCAUAUCUCUCAGGCAAAGUGGAGAGAACUUUCUCUACUAUCCUUGCCUCAUCAAAGUGCUCACCAAGGAGCCUUAUACUGUUAACCACUGCCAUGAUUCUAUCUGCAUACUGCUUCACUGUUUCUUCUUCCUUCAUCUUCAGGUUCUCAAAAUCCCUUCUCAAAUUCAAUAGCUGUUGUUGCCUUGUUCUCUCAGUGCCUUGAAACUCCUCCUUAAGCUUAUCCCAUGCCUGUUUUGGAGUCUCACAGGCCAUAAUUCUGGUGAAGAUGACAUUUGACACACAAUUCUGAAUGCAGGACAUGGCUUUGUGCCUUUUGGUCCUCUCAUCAGCAUGUUGCCUAAUCUGAGCUACUGUGGGAUUGGCCCUCAGUGGUGCUGGCUCAGCAUCUGUGUUGACAACUUCCCACAGAUCAAAGGCCUGUAGGUAAGUCUUCAUCUUGACCAGCCAUAUGUGAAAGCCUUCUCCAUUGAAGACUAGUGGGGCUGCUGGUGAAAAACUUGAGGAAGACAUUCAGCUUUCUUAGUUUGAUAAAACAGGUCCACUAAGAAUGAAGCUCUAGAUACCAAUUGUUGGUGCAAAUAGACAACAACAGACUGUUUUCAAUCUUGCUUGUAUAGCAAGCCUCGAGCCUUGCUGAAGAAACAAACUCAGAAGCAAGAACAGAAACACAUGCGAAUGAAAAACAAAAGAAAUUGAGAGAGAGAGUAUUUUGAAUGAAAAGAGCUGAUAUUUCAUUAACAAAUCCAGAAGGCAUAAUGCCAUUACAUAUAAUAGAUAACAACAACAAAAUGAACAAGUCUUUACCUAAUGACAUACCUAACACCACUAAAUUUACAUUGGAAAUUGUUAAUCAGCUUGCUUAAGUUUCUUUGCUGAUUUUUUCAGUCAAUCAAUCAACAAAAAACAUCAUAAGGUUUACCAACUUAGUUCAACAUGAACUAGAUUACAAAAUAAUAAUUAAAAAUACAAUCAAAACAUAACAAGUAGUUAGGCAACUUUAAGCUCCAGUUUCUGCACUUCAUAGCUCGACUGCUUGCUGCCACUUCUCCUUGCAUGGCCACCUUUGCAUGUCUUGCAUGGGAACUAAAUUCAACAAAACUCCUUCUGCCACUCGAAACAAUGACCAUUCCAAACAUUUUGAUAGACAAUACACAAUUUGCUUCACUACUUACUCACAUAGCCAAAAAAUAUCCAAUGAAACUGGCAAAGGGUUCUUCCAAAAUGGUACAUUAGCUGCCAAAAAGACAACCACCAUAUAUUCCUUCAUUCAGUAAACAGCUUCAAUAUGGAAAUAAGUUAUUAUCUUAAAAAUGCUUUUUCUACCACAGAAGAAUAAGAACUAGGCAUCUCAGAAAAUUUGCUAAAUUAAUGACUUUGCUCCCUUCAAAAUAAACAAAUGAUUAACUGCAUUAUCCCAAAGAGGUCACCAUCAACCUCCAGUUGAACUUUCAAGGAAUAAUAAUAAAAAAUAGAAGGAAAUAAGGGGGAAAAAACCCAACCAGAACUCAGUAAUAGCUGAGCCUUGAAGAUCUGUAGGUAGUAAGAGAAAAACCCCAUGACGACUAAAGUCCAGGCUUGAAAGAACCAAAAGGGAGCAACAUAUGACUAUGAUUCACUGGACCAAGAGAAUCACCAAUGAAUAAAGGAAAAAGGGUACUUUCCUUUAUACCUAAACAUACAAUAUUUAGCCUCAAAAUGGGAAAAUUUCAGGUUUUCACAAAGGGUUUAAGAAAGAGGGUGAAAGUUAAAGAACUUGUCUUUGUUUUGAUGUGUGGUACACGAGAUAGUGAAGGAAAAUAGAGGUGAGGAAAUAAGAUGGAGUAAGUGCCUAAGUGGUGAAAAAGGAGAGCCUAAAAGAGACAUUUUUGAAGGGUAGUUUAGAAGCUGCAGAGGCUUUGGCAUACAGCAGCUGAUAAUGAGAGAAGACAAACCAGAAAUGUAAGUACGACGACGAUAAAAAUUAAAAAAUUUUAAGAAUUAAUGAAAUAAAAUUUUGUAGCUUAGCGAAUUGGGACGAAGUCCACCAGUGUGAUGCCCAUAGAUCCAUACCUGGGAUUUUUCUAUUUGGGCUAACUUUCUAACUUCUCCCACCAGUCUUAAAACUUUGCAGAUUUUUUCAAUUUGAUCUGGAUUGUAUGAUAACAUAUCACUUUGAGAUUGGAAAAAAAAUUAUUUUUUUUAAAUUAGAGAAAAAAUAAAGAAACUAAAUUUCAAGCAUGCAAAGUACAAAAGAAAGAACUGUAUUAAUAAAAGAUGAGUUACUUCACUCAGAUUGGAGUACCCUUUAAACAAGUUUAUUCUUGUAGAGAAAGAAACUGGAUUUUGAUUUCAUUUGCUGUGGCAAAAUUUUUAAUUUCAACAACAGUAUAACAUAUUGAAAGCCUGCCUACAUCUCGGCAGAAAAAUUUACAAAUUCUUUCAUCAGACAAUUUAAAUGAUGCAAUGCAAAGAUUCAUCAAUGUAUGAUCUUUUUAUCAUAAAUGGCUGUUUUACUGGAAAACUUGAUAUGUACUGUCUUUCACAUUCUUUUGUGCUGAAUGGUCUCUGAAAACUGCAAUCAUCAACUAUAGAUAACCCAUUCCUCAGCGCCGCCAGAGCCGACCUUGUUGUUUCUGUUCUUGAACUUGCCUGUGUCAUCAAAGGCAGUGAGCAUUUAUCAAUGUUAUAAAAAUGGCAUAUCGAAGUCAGAUUUUACUUGACAAUACACAAAUGUAAGAAGAUAAUUCACCUUUGAUACUCUUUAGAACGCUCGAGAAACUCUUUCGCGAUGUCUUUUCUUUAAUAUGAUUGCAAUACUUGUCUGAUAUCAGCCGGACCAUUGUGUUAGUACAAAACUCCGGUAAGGAAAAAAACUCGAACACACGAUCGGAACUCGAAAAGAAAAAGAAGAAAUAGGACAGGCUCCAAGGCGUGUAUCAAGCCACUAUCUUUAAGGUUAUAUUCGCCCCCACUUAUCUUCAGUGUGCAAACGAGUUCCAAGCAAAUUAACCUCGAGGAUACAAUGAAGCCAAUGACUAUUUGCGUUUUGCACUGACGAGAAUAGUCCACUAUACACUAAGUAAUGUAUAACAAAAACUCAAUUUCUACAAAGGAUUUCUGCAGCAAUACUUUAUAGAAUAAUCUAAUAAUAUUAGAAAAUGAAGGAAGAGAAGAAAUAAUAUUAGAAUUUGUUGAUAUGAUUUCCAAAUGAAAUCCCAUUCCUAUUUAUAGGAAUUUUCAUGUCUCUUCAUAGAGACAUCUUUCAAUAGGUGUCUUUAUGAAUAAAUAAAUAAUAAUAAUUAUUCAUUUAAUUUUGUAACUAUUCAAAUAAUAUUUUUUGAAUAGUUAUAAUUCUUUUUUAAAAAAUCAAAUGAUAUAACUUUUGACCAAUGACCAAAAGUUUUAUCUUUUGAUUAAUUACACCCAUUCAUUUAUAGUUAUUGGGAUACUAUAAAUAUUUGAAAAUAUUCCAACAAUCUCCCCCCAUUUUCAAAAUAUUUAGAUUUUGAUAUUCUUGGAAAUCAAUUUGCAUAAAUAAAGGUGUCUUACGAUUGAACCUUCACUUAGUGAAAACAUGUUAAAGUUAAUCGAAAUUGUAUGGUAGACUAAGCUUUGAACCAACUAUUCCAUUUGAUUAAUUGAACACAUCUCACACAAUGAUUUCAACAUCAGUCAAUGCAUAGUAUCUAGGGACACUAUUAUAGCCAUGUGUCUAUGUCCUCUUUUCAUGAGUGCUGUCAGAGCCAAGCCCUUAAGCUCCUAGAAGCGGCCACACUUCCACUCACAUAGGUAGAUCCCAUCAAAAGUGUUCCCGUAAUUAUAACACUCUAACAUAUUUAUGUUAUGGGUCCAUUAAGAGUAAAUUACUCAUCCUUCCCUUAUCAUUACGGGUACCUAGCACUUUAAUCUUAGGAUGGAUUUAUUUAUAGUGCUAACAGUCACAUACUAAUGAUGUACUUUGUCUCAUUGAACUCAAGACUUGACGUUAUACCAAGCAUUGAGUCGAGUUUCCAUCAUGGGUGACUCUAAUUAAUAGGCUUGAGUCCCAUCCCUUUUGAGGUCCUUUUUACUGCAUCUCUAGCAAGACUUUUUGUCAAAGGAUCUGCCAAAUUUUCACUUGACCUCACAUAAUUAAUAGUGAUCACUCCAUCAGAGAUUAAUUGUCGGACAUAACUAUGUCUUAAUCCAAUGUGUCUAGACUUUCCAUUAUAUACUUGGCUAUAUGCCUUUGCUAGAGUAGCCUCACUAUCACAACGGAUAGAAAUAGGUGAAAUUGGCUUAAGCCAUAAACGUACAUCAUAAAGCAAAUUUCUUAACCAUUCUGCUUCUUUAGAUGCAGCGGCUAAUGCAAUAAAUUCUGCUGCCAUGGUGGAAUCAGUAAUACAUGUUUGUUUCUUGGAACCCUAAGAAAUGACUCCUCCACCAAGAAUGAAGAUCCACCCACUAGUAGAUGCAUGAUCUUCCAAACUUGUAAUCCAACUAGCAUCCGAAUACCCUUCUAAAACUGGAGGAUAUCCAUUAUAACACAAUCCAUAGUUAAUAGUUUUCUUUAAGUACCUAAGUACUCUAUUUAAAGCUUGCCAAUGCAAACUACUUGGAUUAUUUGUGUAUCUACUCAAUUUUCCAAUAGCAUAUGCAAUAUCUGGUCUUGUACAAGUCAUUAUGUACAUAAGAAAACCAAUUGACUUGCAUAUUUCAAUUGAUCAAUUUUCCUACCAGCAUUAGAUACUAAUUUUAAUUGAGGAUCCAUGGGUGUAGAUACUGGUAUACAGUUGAAAAUAUCAAACUUUUUAAGCACAUUUUCAAUGUAAUGUGAUUGUGAUAAAGCUAUAGUGCUUUCAUCUCGGGUUAUUUUAAUCCCAAGAAUAACAUCUUCUACACCCAUAUCCUUCAUAGCAAAGUUGUUUGACAAGAAUUUCUUUGUGUUUUCUAUUUGUUCCAAAUCCGUGCCAAAAAUGAGCAUGUCAUCUACAUAUAAGCAAAUUAUAACACCCUUUCCAUUAUCAAAUUUACUAUAUAUGCACUUAUCGGAUUCAUUUAUUUAUAGCCAUUAGCUAAAACAACCUUGUCAAACUUUUGGUGCCAUUGUUUUGGUGCUUGUUUAAGCCCAUAUAAAGAUUUAACAAGCUUACAUACCUUAUGCUCUUGUCCUGGAACAACAAAUCCUUCCGGUUGCUCCAUGUACACUUCCUCUUCCAAUUCACCAUUUAAAAAUGCAGUUUUAACAUCCAUUUGGUGAACAACCAAAUUAUAUAUAGAGGUAAGUGAUAUUAAUAGUCUAAUUGUAGCAAUUCUUGCUACUGGAGCAUAGGUAUCAAAGUAAUCAAUACCUUGUCUUUGUGUAAAACCUUUUGCUACCAACCUUGCUUUAAAUUUAUCAAUGGUUCCAUCGACCUUCAUUUUCUUUUUGAAGAUCCAUUUACAACCUAUUGGUUUGGAACCUGGUGGAAGAUCAACUAAGAUCCAAGUUUGAUUUCCCAUUAUUGAAUCCAUUUCAUCAUUUAUUGCUUCUUUCCAAAAAGUAGAGUCUUGAGAUUUCACUGCUUCUUCAAAUGUAACAGGAUCAGAUUCGGUAUUAUAACAAUAAGGUAUCUUAUUGCAUAUACUUUCACCUUUUCCUUCUAUAAGAAACAUAAUGAAAUCUGGUCAAAAAUCUUUGACCUUUUUAAUCCUCUUACUUCUUCUUAAUUCUUGACAAGAUUCAUCAUUAUUAUCAAUUUGUUUCAAUGGAAUCUCAUUCUCAUUUGAAGAAUGAAUCAAUUGUUGUGGUUGUAAUUGUCUUGAUAUAGAAUUAAAUCUAUUUUCAUCAAAAAUAGCAUCUCUUGAUUCAAUAACCGUAUUAAUUGAAAUUGAAUCAUUUGGUUCAAUUACUAUGAACCUAUAUGCCUUGCUAUUAUGUGCAUAACCUAUAAAUAUGCAUUCAAUUCCUCUUUCACCUAACUUUUUACGUUUAGGUGUUGGAACUUUUACAAUAGCUCUACAACCCCAAACCUUUAAAUAAUUAAGGUUUGGUUUCCUUUUCUUCCAUUGUUCAUAGAGGGUUAUUUUAGUUUCCUUAUUAGGAACUCUAUUCAAUAUAUGACAAGCUGUUAGAACAGCUUCUCCCCAAAAACCCUGUCCAAGACCUGAAUAUGAUAACAUUGAAUUUACCAUUUCAAUCAAGACUCUAUUUUUCCUUUCAGCUACACCAUUUUGUUGUGGUGUGUAAGGGGCUGAAACUUGAUGGACAAUUCCAGUGAGUUCAAAAUAACUUGGAUUAUAGUAUUCUCCACCUCUAUCCGAUCUUAAGCACUUGAUAAAUGAUUCACACUGAAGUUCAACUUCAGAUUUAUAAACUUUAAAUUUAUCAAGCGCUUCAUCUUUUGAAUGCAAUAAAUAUACAUAACAAUAUCUAGAACAAUCAUCAAUAAAAGUAACAAAAUAUUUCUUUCCACCUAAUGUAGGAGUAUUAUGCAAGUCACAUAAAUCACUAUGUAUCAAAUCAAGCAAUUUUGUUUUCCUUUUAACCUUAGGGAAAGGAUUUCUUGUAAUUUUAGUCAACAUACAGGUAUUGCAUUUUUCAAUAUUAUUAUUAAAAACAGGAAUUAAAUCUAAUUUAUACAUGUCAUUCAAUUUUCUAUAAUUCAAAUGACCUAAUCUAUAAUGCCACAAACAAAAUGAUUCAACCAUAUAAGCAGAAAUAGUAUUUUUAUUCUUAUUAAUAAUAUUAAGUUUGAACAUGCUUUCAUACAUAUACCCUUUUUCCCACAAAAAUUCCUCCCUUAGACAAAAUAAACUUAUCUGCCUCAAAAACAAGUUUGAAACCAAACUUAUUCAACAGACUUCCAGACACUAAAUUUUUCCUAACUUCUGGUACAUAAUAUACAUCAUUUAAGGUUAAAACCUUUCCAGAAGUGAAUUGUAGUUCAACAGACCCUUUGCCUUUAAUUUGCGGUGGAAGAAUUUCCCAUGUACAAGACAUUGUCAUUUUCACAUUGUGUGACUUUGUGAACAUGCUUUUGUCUUUGCACACAUGUUUGGUUGCUCCGGUAUCAAUCCACCAUGUAUUAUCAUCUUGUACCAUAUUAAUUUCAGAUAUCAUUGCAACGAACUUUUCGUUAUUAUCAGCCUUAGAAGAUGAUUUCUUCUUUAAAAAUCGAUAUUCAUUCUUGAAAUGUCCCGGCUUUCCACAAUGAUAGCAUGAGCCCUUUUGUUUCUUUUUGAACUUAGGUGCUCUAUCAGCCUGAUUGAACUUUCUUUUGAAUGGUUUAGUAGUCUGUACUUCCUCCGUAACAUGUACUUUGGCAUUUUCAGAAUUUAGGUUCUGAUCUUGUUGUCGAUACUCUUCUUCAAUACGAAGAUGAUUUGCCAAAGCCUCAAGAGAUAUUUCCUCUUUCUUAUGUUUUAGACUUCUUUUAAAGUCUUUCCAAGAUGGAGGAAGUUUGUCUAUUAUAGAGGAUACCACAAUUAUUUCAUCCAUUUUCAUAUCAUAUUGCUUAAAUUGAUUCAACAUCUUUUCAAUAUCACGAAAUUGUUCCAUAACAGAACGACCAUCAACCAUUUGAUAAUUAUUGAAACGACUGACAAGAAAUUUCUUACUUGUAACAUCUUCGGUCAUGUAUCUUGCCUCCAAUUUGUCCCAUAAAUCUUUAGCGGUGACGUCGUUUUGGUAGGUGUCGAACAAACCAUCAGAUAAACCAUUCAAUAUGUGGCCCAUGCACAUGUAAUCAGCAUUGUCCCAUUUUUGUCUUUCUCGGGUUGCAGCAAUAGAUUCGUUUUCAUUCUCUUCAGGUCUUGGAGUAUCCAAAACAUAAGCAAUCUUCAAAGUUGAUAACAAAAAGUGCAUCUUUUUCUGCCAUCGUCGAAAAUUGCCACCAUCAAAACGAUCAAGUUUAACAAAGUUGGAAGCCAACUCCCUUAGUGUUCCACUUUCAUGUGUUGUGGUAGUCAUCAUGAAAUAUAACCUUAAAAUUGUUAGUACAAAACUCCGGUAAGGAAAAAAACUCGAACACACGAUCGGAACUCGAAAAGAAAAAGAAGAAAUAGGACAGGCUCCAAGGCAUGUAUCAAGCCACUAUCUUUAAGGUUAUAUUCGCCCCCACUUAUCUUCAGUGUGCAAACGAGUUCCAAGCAAAUUAACCUCGAGGAUACAAUGAAGCCAAUGACUAUUUGCGUUUUGUACUGACGAGAAUAGUCCACUAUGCACUGAGUAAUGUAUAACAAAAACUCAAUUUCUACAAAGGAUUUCUGCAGCAAUACUUUAUAGAAUAAUCUAAUAAUAUUAGAAAAUGAAGGAAGAGAAGAAAUAGUAUUAGAAUUUGUUGAUAUGAUUUCCAAAUGAAAUCCCAUUCCUAUUUAUAGGAAUUUUCAUGUCUCUUCAUAGAGACAUCUUUCAAUAGGUGUCUUUAUGAAUAAAUAAAUAAUAAUAAUUAUUCAUUUAAUUUUGUAACUAUUCAAAUAAUAUUUUUUGAAUAGUUAUAAUUCUUUUUUAAAAAAUCAAAUGAUAUAACUUUUGACCAAUGACCAAAAGUUUUAUCUUUUGAUUAAUUACACCCAUUCAUUUAUAGUUAUUGGGAUACUAUAAAUAUUUGAAAAUAUUCCAACACAUUGCGGGCUACAUCUGUGAACAAAUCAAAACAAAUGGUACUAUAAUCAACAAAUGAAUAUAGGAAACAUAAAAUUUGAACAAAGGCGAUGUGCAGAGGAAAAAGCAACAACAUAAGACUUACAUUCAAGAAAUGGAAUAAGGUCUAAAAGUGCGGUAUCAUCAGUCUCGACCUUAUAUGGCUUAAUAUGGACACAAUUUUCUGGUUGAAGGCUAGAAUCAAAUGCAUGAGCACUCACAUAUAAAAUCUUGGUUGGAUCCCUGUUUAGCUUUGAAAGAUCCUGCCAACAGGAACUAUUUGUUAACAAUAAGGCUUCUUUUUAAGUAGCAGCUUGUAAAGGCACUGUCUCAUAUAUUAAUUCACAUAGUAUUGUAGAAACUAAGGAGGAGAAAACCAAAAGCAAAAUGUUUUGAAGGGAAGAGAUUGACUAUGACAUGGUAAAAGUAUCAUGGAGGCCCCUAUGUUAGGAGUUAGAUUGCCUUUUGCCCCCUUUACUCAAAAACUGGAUAAAUUAGUCCCUAUAUGUUAGAUUAAAGAGUAAGCUAGACUUUCUGUUAAAAAUUUCAUCCAUUGCUACUGUUAAAAACUGGUGCAGUUGAUAAAAUAACCAAACAGUUACACAUAAUGUGUCACGUGUACCUCAUGCUAAUGUAUAUGGACCAAUUUUUAACAGUAGAAAUGGAUGGAACUUGUAACAGAAGGGCUGGUUUGCUUUUUAAUCUAAUUUACAGGGAUUAAUUUGCCCAUUUUUUUAGUAAAGGGGUGAAAUGCAAUAUGACUCCUAGUAUAAGGGCCUCCAUGGUACUUUUACCACUAUGACAUACUCUAUAAUGCUUGCCAUCCUGAUAUUUAGUAGCACCCCUUGAUAGCCUAUAUCGUAUACAAUGGUUAGUGUCCAACCUUUCACAAGCAGGAUCAACAUACCGCAUAGCCAAAAACAAAAUAAUUAUGAACUUGCAGGCAACAUCAGUUAUAGUAUAUCUGAAAAAGAUAAGGAAAAAAAACUGUUACUUUCAUAUCUAAUUUCUUUAUAGUAUUAGGACAAACUAAACAAUGGAUAUAUCACAUUAUUAAGACUUAGCUAAGGAGCCGCUGAUAUACAUUCAAAUGAUCAAUCAUAAAGGAUGAACUAGGAGGCCUAAUGAUAAAUCAAAAUUACACCUAAACCAGUUAUAUGUCUAAAGGCAAUUGCACAUUAUAUCAAUCAAACAACUAAAAUAAAUAGAGAAAAUCCUUUAAAAUAUUCAAUUUCUAAACAAAAUCAAACUCACAUCAAUAGCAGAUCUUGACAAAGAAACCCAAAAUCACAAAUGAUCCUAUCUUUUUAAAAGGGGAAAAAGAAAACUUACUAUAAGAGAGAUAACCAGCAUAGCCAGUAGUUCCAGUAACACCUGCAAUGAGUCCGUACUUGACAAAGCUCUAAAUUUUCCCUCCCGAAACCUGUGGGGCAACUUUCGGCGCCAGAGGAGGAGGUGUCGACUGAUCGGAGAGAAUGGAUUGUGAAGAACAAUCCAAACUUAAUUUACAAGCAAUGUGGAAAUUUUGGACGUUGCAGUAUUGACUACGUUUACUUGAGGGAAAACAAAGACAUGAAUGCUGGAAAUUUUAACUAGUUUGUACGGUCAAUGAAGCUACCUCGAAUGUUAAAUAUGUUACUCUGCAAUGCCAUUGUAAAUAUGACUGUUAAAUUUGUUGAUAGCGGAAUUGUUCCACUCAAGUUAUUGUGGGACAAAUCAAGAAUUUGAAGAAAAGUGACAUUGCAUGUUAAACAAGAGACCUCUCCAUUGAAACUAUUAUUUGAGAUCAGAAAGACAUUGAUUGUCGAAGCUGGAAUCGGAAGAUUUCCACGGAUCAAAUAGGAGCUUAAGUCAAGAACUACAAUAUUCUUCCAUGGAAAGUGCAAAACUUCUGUCAAAGAGUUGCUGUAAUUGGAUUAAUCUCAUCGUUGCUGCAAUCUUUUGACAAAUCGAAUCUUAAAUAUGUUACUCUGCAACGCUAUUGUAAAUGUUACUCUUAAAUAUUACUCUGUAACUAGAUUGAUGGCUCAAUCUUGUUUUUAACAUUGUUAUGGGUAUUACUACUUUCAUGCUUUGAUACGCGAUACCCUCUUUCUAGGUGACAUUUUUGCUCCUUCCGGGCCACCAUGGGCUCUCUGCAUCACUCACCAACCUCAUUAGAUUCCCCGGGUGCCAUUUGGCCAUCUCAAGUCUCAAAAUAGCAUCAAAAUGCACUCUAAUAAUUUAUUAAUAUAAAGAACUAAAACAAAAUAAAAACACAACAAAGAUAUCUAAAUUGCACGAAAAUAAGCUUUUAAGUGUGAUGGAGAGUCUAAUUUGACAUAUCAAUUAAUGUUUGACUAUCUCCAUCUCACUUUUUAUUAAUUAAGGAAUAUGAAUUAGAAUUAAUAUAAACUUACUAUUUUAACAUUUCAUAAGCAAAAGCUAAAAUAAUAUUGGUCACAUCCCAUAUCUUCAUAUAUAGCUUAUCAGACAAAAGUUAAAACAGCCUUCAGUUCAUCUACAUUCUACAUUCCACGUCGAAUCUGCAAGCAUCAAAUAUUAACCUUUGAACUCCAAAAUAACAACACCAAUUUCCAGCAAUUGCAGAAGAAUGUCCAAUAAUUCCACACAAAUUAACAACAAUUUGCCAGCAUCCACUACAUUCGUAUGAAUUCCACACAAAUUAAGACUGGAAACUCUAACUUGUUCAUACCCUCAAUGAAGCUACCUAAAAGUUAUGAAUUCCACUGCAAAUUUUGUAUUGCUUGGAAUGAAUUGACUGUAAUUUCCUAUUACUUGCCACAAAAUUUUCUUUUACUGCUAACUUGUAAAAAAAUUAUGAAAAUACAACAGAGAUCAUUGAGACAUUUUGUUCUCCUUUCUCCUUUACUGAGCAGUAGCAAAGAUUAUCGAGACUAAAUUGAAAGUCAUGAAAGAAGACAUAAACAACACCACCAUACAAAAUGUUACACUCAAACAAACCAUUACAGAUAGUACGAAAUGCAAUGAAAGACACAGGAAUUGGUACAACAAUAAAGACAGACACAUACCAAUGCAACCCUUCACCAUAGGCAAAACGGUCUACAGAAUAAGAAAUUAUGAAAAUACAACACUAAUUCUUGAACAUCAUUUCCAGUAAUUAGAUCCUUCUUCGUCUAUUGCUUCGAUUGCCUUUCUUUGACUUUCUUCUUCGCCUCAUCUCUUGUUGGUUUUCAACCAAAUUCACCAACCAUUUCGGCUUACCAAUUUGGAAAACAACAUAUCCCACGGACAUUCCGAACACCACUCUGCAUCCAUAACCUAUCAACACCACUUUCCAACCAAAAGCAAUGUUUGAUUUUGAGCCAUCUUUUUCAAGCGCAUUUGGAGGUGCUGGCUCAAUGAUGUUGCAACCUUUCGAGACCGGAAACCCACACAGUCCAUUAUUCCCUUCAUAUGAAUCAUUUCCAAAUGUGUUGAAUUGUUUUCCUUGAGGAAUCUGACCAUGGAGUUGAUUUUCAGCGACAUUGAAGGACGAAAGAAAUGGCAGAUCUGCCAAUCUAUUUGGAAUCGUCCCAGACAACCUGUUUGAAGAUAGGUCCAACCAUUCAAUACUUGUCAAAUUCCCUAUUGAUGUGGGAUACCACCAUUAAGGUUAUUAUGAGAAAGGUUGAGCCCUUUCAGUAAGUUAAGCUUCCCAAAAACCUUUGGAAUACCCCCUUCAAACUGAUUGUUUGAUAGAUCAAUGAUCAUCCACAUGGUGAAAAUUUUCACCAAUUCCAUAUAUUGUCCUUUCAUAACAGUUCCGAUGGAAUAGGUAUAGAAGCCAUUACCUCUCGGAACAUACAUCCCCAUGUACGACAUUGUACUCCCAAUCUUCUCUAGAUUUAUGAUACCCUUGAAGCUGUUGAUGUAUCUCACUGGUAGGGGUCCAGAAAAAUAAUUACUUGAGAGAAAAAAAAUUUGGAUUUUAGAGAAAAAAGGGCUAGACUUGGAGCUAUUGUCACAUAAGGAACCAUGCAUAUGAUUUGACUUCAAUACAAGAACUUGUAGCUGUGGAAGACUUCCCAACCAAUGAGGAAAUGUAUCAUUGAUCUUGUUCUUCUUCAGAUUCAAGAAUUGAAGGCUGUAGCUCAAAUUUUCAAAACAUUGCGGAAUUGUUCCGCUCAAGUUAUUGUGGGACAAAUCACGAAUUUGAAGAAAAGUGACAUUGCAUAUUAAAGAAGAGACCUCUCCAUUGAAACUAUUAUUUGAGAUCAGAAAGACAUUGAUCGUCGAAGCUGGAAUGGGAAGAUUUCCACGGAUCAAAUUGGAGCUUAAGUCAAGAACUGCAAUAUUCUUCCAUGGAAAGUGCUCAACUUCUGUCAAAGAGUUGUGAGAUACAUUUAAGUCAAAGAGCCAUUGCCCACCUCUUGCAUCCACUGUGGAAUCUUGCCUUCAAUUUUGUUGCAAGAGAGGUCCAAGCUUUCCAAACUUUUAAGCCCUUAUAAAAACUGGGGGAAUUCACUAAGAUUGAAAGAUGACAAACGUAAGUCUAUAAGAUUAGACAAUAUAUGGUUAACACAAGAAGUAGUAUUAAAUGUUAAGGAUAGGCUGUUAUAUGAAAGGUCGAGAAGUUUUAGAGUUGGAAGGUUUGAGAACAUGCGAAACUCUAUGACACCACUAAGAUUAUUUGAGGAUAAAAGGAGGUGGGUAAGAUUGAGAAGUUGGAAUAUUGAAGAUGGAAGAGGACCUUGGAGUUUAUUAUUGUUUAACCUUAUCAAUUCUAGUGUUUUG
rnacentral:lncRNA from 1 species